UGUGAGACACUUCUAAUGGGAAAGCAAAAGAGGAUGUCUAAUGUGAUGAGUAGCGAAAUGAAGCAAGAGGAAAGUUUGAUUCUCUUCUCUCCGAAGAAUCAUGGCGAGGAGGCAAUGGUGGUAAUUUCUGGUUCUUAUGUUAUUGUGGUUCCCAUGUGUUGUCUUCUCACAUAGCAUAACUGAAAAAUGCAGGCUAGAAAUCCUUUCCUUGACCUCAACUUCACUGAAAGCUCGAAAAGCUUGUCUGUUGGGACUAUUCCAAUGCAAUGUGCAACAGAACAUCAGCAGAACUCCGACUUAUUCAAGCUACCAUCGCCAUGCCCGUACGAUAACUUCCUGAAAGCUGCUGGUUGUUGAACCUAAUGAAGCAUAUGAGAACAGCACUUCUUCCUUAACUAGACAAGAAACUUUCAGUAUUCAAGUAAACAAGCAGUUCAAAGUGUGCAGGCCUUGCGGCUACAAGAAUCCGCCGUUCGAAGAACGCAUUUUAGUGUAUGUAAGAAGAAGCACAGAUGCAAACAGGAUUUGUUGAGUUUGUUGAAGUUUUCUAAUUAAAUUCUUUAAUCUUACUUGCUUGUUUGUCUUUGCAAGAUUUUGAGCUGCAAUUUGCCAUUGCCUUCUUCUGUACUAGCAGUUCGAAAUUCUUCGCCAUGUGAGAGCUUCCGAUCAAGGAUUCAUUCCUUUUGAUGUGUAAAGAACGGUUAUAUGUUAAUGUCUAAUUCUUUCCAUCAAUGCAAUGGGAUAGAGUAUGUAAAAUUCCAGACUUAUGACUUAAAUAUAUUAUUAUGGGUUAGAACUUGUACAUUUUUUUAUACGUUUUUAAUAUUUUAAAUUUCAAAUCAUACUAAAAAUAUUAGUAAUAUGUAAGAAUAUAGAAAUAUUUAUUACUUUAAUGUAAUACUUUUAACAUUUGUAAUUUUAUUUAAAGUUUAAAAAAUAUAUAAUUGAUUCAAAGUUAGUAUGAAAAUUUAUAUAUAUAUGAUGUUCCUGGCUUCCUUUGUCCCUCAAGACCAACAAAGGGGAAUUGCAAAUAUUUUUAUCCUGAUUUUAGGCUCUGAUUCAUCCUUCAUGAUGAACUUUACAGGGUCUAGUAGUAAAAUUCACAUUUCAUGAUUGCUACUUGGCUAAACAUAUUAGGGUAGAUACAAGUAUUUGAUAACUUCUUAGCUAAGUCUCUCUCUAGUUUCCAUCUACAGAGAGAAUCACUUUUUCUUCUGCCUAGGAGAUAGCUCCCCGUUUACCAUCAUUUCAUCGACUCCUUUCUAUCCCGUCCGGGCAGAGGCAUGCCUCUCCCUUUUUGAAGAGUGAGUAGUGGUUUCUUUUCUUUUUUAUUUUUCUUUGUUUUUUCACAAUGGAUCCAACAGAGAUCUUGAUAUUUUUUUUAGAUUUGCUGCUCCUUUUAUUGCUUAAUCUAUGCUUCUUUGGUUUUUUUUAUUUGCAUGCAGAUGGUGAAUAACCUGGGCGAUUGAUCUUGUUUGCUUGGAGCCACCUGCGUGUGAUGAUCAAACGCUAUGUUUUCUUUGGAUGGUGCUUUAUAGAUCCGCAAAGAGAGACCGGUUUUUAGGGAUGGGUACCUCUUGGAGUCUUGUACUAGGUUUGCACACCAUAAAUAGUGACCACCCUUAAGGUUUAGAUCUACCGAAGAGCUCUGCUCAUCACUCCUUCCCAGUUAUGCUGAAAUUGUUGGUUCUUCUUCUCUUAGAUUUGUCAUGCCUUGGCUUGUUUGUCCGGAUGCUCAAACCCUGUUUUUCUGUUCUGGUUUGUUUCUUCUGUGAUGGGUUCUAUUGGUUUAUUGCUUGUAACAAAGGAGGUAUUAUAAGGCGUUCUGGUCAUAGGUUUCUAAAGUUUUCCAUCUUGUUUUGAGGCUUGGGGAUGACCUAGUUUUCUAUAUUUUGCUCUCUGUUGCUUUUCAUUGUUGUAUUUUUCUUCGUUGGAAACUAAAGAUGGUUGGCUUCUCAAUCUAGAAAGGAUAGCAGAGAUGAUGUUAGGCUCGACAAUCCUGGUUCAGCUAGCUGUAGAUUUUUUAUGUCUGGGGCUUGGGCAUCUUGUUAGGAGCUUUUGUUUUGUGUUUGAUUGGCUUCAGAAGCCUCUUCAACCUUAGUUGUAAUCCAUAUGCUUUUGAGCUUUGAGCCCAUUAUUAAUGAAAUCAUUUUAUCUUUGAUGAAGGUGUAAUGCUUAUAAAGAGGUGAUAAAGGUGUAAAUAAUGUACGAAAGCAUAAGUUGAAAAACUAACCCCCUCUCUUCAAAUGUCAAUUUUUUUUUUCUUAUAUCCUAAAUUGGGAUAUAAGGAUUGGAAGGUGAGAUAAUUAUUUUAAUUUUAAUAUGUAUUAUACUAAAUGGGUCCCUUGAUUAUGAAGAUAAAAAAAUAAUAAUAAUAAAUAAAUAAAUAAAUAAAUUAGCACUCCAAGGCUUAGCUUGGUGGAAAGUGCAUCCUGUAGCCUUGACAGGUCUAAGGUUCGACUCCCCCGACCCCUAUUUCAAAAAAAAAUAAAUAAAUAAAUUAAGUUUUCAGCCACAACCAAAGCCACUAAUGUGGCUCUAAUGGACCAAAUCUCCUUUGAUUUGGCAAUCAAUUGCAAGAGCCACACUCUUUCCUAUAAAUAGGCAACAGCUCAAGAAAAUGGGAAUCAAGGAAGCUCAAGUGCAAAUAGCUUCAGUAAUUUGAGUGUUCUUUGAGGAUUUUGAGAGGUCCAAAGCAUUAAAAGAUAGAGAUUGAGAAAAAUAUUUUGGGUAUCUCAAUACUUUGAGUGUUAGUAUUUUUAAGUAGAUAUUAUUUGUAAUUUCUCCGUGGAAAAAUUAUUUGGAAUUUUUGUAUCUACUAUUUAUAAUAGUAAAAAAUUAUUUGGAAUUUAAGUAGAUAUCAUUUGUAAUUUCUCCGGUGGAAAAAUUAUUUGGAAUUUAGCGGAUGUGGAAAAAUUAUUUGGAGUUUAGAGAGUAAAUUAUAUUAAAAUUAUUAUUUGCUAUCUAUUUAUUUACUUAUAUUUUUUUUUCUAUUUUAAAAAGCGAUAUUUUAUCAAUAAGUGAUAUCAGAGAUUAGUUUUUGUUUGAAGUGUUGCAGAAAUGGAGGCAAGAAUAAACAAAAUGAUCAACUUAAAUGGCAUAAAUUACCACAUAUGAAAAACAAGAUACGAGAUAUCUUAUUUGUGAUGAAAAUGCAUUUGUCGAUAUUUUCUACAACUAAACUGGAGGACAAAUAGACAUGAAAAGCUUAGUUUCUGUUUGAAGUGUUGCAGAAAUGGAGACAAGAACAAAUAAAAUGAUCAACUUAAAUGGCACAAACUACCACAUAGGAAAAACAAGAUACGAGAUAUCCUAUAUGUGAUGAAAAUAUAUUUGUCAAUAUUUUCCACAACUAAGCUGGAGGACAAAUAGACAAGAAAUGGGAGUUUGAGCACGAGUACAAGCACGUGUGCGGCUUCAUUCGACAAUUUGUUGAAGAUAAUGGUUCAAUCAUGUUAAUAAUGAGACGCAUGCUCGGUUGCUAUGGAAUAAACUUGUAACGACCCGGAAACCGGACCGCUACCGGCGCUAGGAUCCAGAUCGGCUUAAGGUCGCCGGGACCCGUAGCAAGCCUAACAUACCUCCUAUCACCUGGCCAAAUCCCAUACAUGAUCAAAACAUUAACAUAAAAACUUAAAACAUCUGAUGUAUAUACCGAGCUUGACUUGUAUGCUACAUAACUGGAAACAUAAAAAACCCCCUAUUAGAGCCCUCAACAAAAACUCUAGCUGGGUCAACAUAACAUACAUCAAGCUAGGAUCACAUCCGAUGAACCAAAACCUAACAUGUGCAUGCACCAGAAUCAUAAGCAUAAGACCUCCACUAGAGUCCUCAUCAAAAUACUCUAGCGUGGUAAACAAUCACAUGCCACAAGUUUGGUUCAAACUCAACUCAACAUUAAAACAUAACAUACAUAAUGUACUAAAAAGGGACUAACCAAGCCUUAGGGCCAAGCACAAUACUAAUCCAUAAACAUAACUCUACUUUACGUUACAUUACAUCACAUUAUCUUACAAUACAUUCUAUCAAUUUACAUUACAUGUCCACACUAACAUGCUAAUCUAUUACAAAGCCAUAACUUUUACCCUUGACGUCUUCCUGGACUACCUCUGACCUGCAAACCUGGGGGUUAGGGAGAGGGGUGAGCUAAAAAGCCUAGUGAGCAGAACAUGGAAAACAGUAAUAAAUCAUAUGCUAUCAUGAAAUGCGUCACAGCACAAACAUUUCACAUCACGGAUGGACAUGACCACCAAAACUCCCUCUGUCUGUGCCCGGCCCUCAAAGGAGCUCUUCAGGACUUUUGUAACAUACAUGGUGCCCGGCCCUUCGGGCUCCUCAAGACUUCUGUAACAUACAUAGUGCCCGGCCCUUCGGGCUCCUCACGACUUCAUUAUGCCCAGCCUUCGAAGGGGCUCCUCAGGACUUCAUUAACAUAUCAUAUCUAGGGUUAUUGGAGUCGCCUUGGUCCAUCCACAUCAACAAUAAAUUAUGCAAUGCAGCAUAUUCGUGAUUUCUAAUGCAAGCAACCUACUACAUAUACAUGGUAUUCAUGAUGCGUGAAAUAUGCUAAAAACAUUUGAGUUAGUUCUACUCACCUCUGGCAGACGCUGGACUGACUCUGCAACAGCUAACACUGCUGGCCUCCUCGGUCCCUCGGGUCCGAUCCUACACAGGUGGACUCGAAUGAGGUGCCAAGCACACUCUAAACAACUCAUAAACAACUCCCCAAAAACCCCCUCAAACAUCCUCAAAACAUGCAUAGAAAAUAACCAUGAAAAGGCUGGACAGGGCACUUUCGGCGGCACCUUCGGCGGCCGAAUGUAGGGCCCUUCCAGAGUCGAAAGCCAUGCAGGUUCGGGGGCACUUUCGGCGACCGAAAGUCCUUCCAAAGCCGAAAGUCCUUCCAGAGCCGAAAGUCUGGCACCUUCGGCGGCAGGUUCGGCGGCCGAAGCCUCUCACAGAUCCGAAAGUCCUAGCCUUCGGGGGCACGUUAGGCGGCCAAAGCUGCCUUCCAUACAGGUUCGGUAGCCGAACAUACCUUCGGCGGCCGAACCUGGUUCCUUCCGAACAGCAAGUCCGAAUCCGACACAAGCAAAACCAACCUCCAAGCAACCCAAACCUCACAUGCCCUCUCCCAAACAUGCAUACACACUCCCAUAUGCAUAAAGGGGCAUAAACUAACUUAAACCCCAACACAACAUCACAUAAACAUACAUUGGGCAUAAAACCCAUAUAAACCCUAACAUGCAUAUCUACCCAUACUCAAGCAUUAAAACUUCCUUCAAACUUACUUAAAACUUUAUUAAACAUAAAUGAAAGCAAGGAUCUACACUUACCUCUUGAAGAUCGAGGGUUGGUGCGAUCCCUAACUUGGAGAUGGGAGGAAACAAACUCUUUGGGUCUCCAAGCUCCCAAAACUUGAUUUAAGCUUUAAAACUUCAAAACCCAAAAGGAAACUCAUAAAAACGUGAAGGAUUUGAAGAAAGAACAUGAAAUCAACCAAAGGAGGACAUUAACACACCUGAGCUCGAGAAUGGGGAGAAAACUCGCCCAUUUUUUAUCUGAGGGCCUUUUAUAGGUGGCCAAUCAACCACCUUCGGCGGCCUAAGCUAUCUUCACAGCUCCACCACCUUCGGCAGCCUAACUUGCCUCCUAAACUAUCCCAUGUUCGGCGACCGAACUUGAGGUUCGACGGCCGAACCUGGUUUCUUCCCUCAAAACCUUCGGAGGCCUAAAGCACUCCCGAAACAGCCCCAUGUUCGGCGGCCGAACCUGGGUCCUUCCUCCUUGGCCUAUUCUUUUCAAAACUCCAUUUCUUUUCCAUUUAAAACCAUAAAAACAUGAAAAUCAUUUUGAAGAAACAUUUUAGAAACAGAUUUUACCCCUCUAGAAGACUCUGGCAUCUUCAAAAUUCCAGAUUCCAACGAAGAUUCAGCCGGAAGGUAGGGAUUCUGAUGCCGAAAUCUAGCCGGGUAUUACAAAACUCGAGGAGUUGUACGCAUAACAAAUCAGUAAUAAUAAAUUAUUUUAUUGGAAAAAAAUAAUAUACCCAAAUUAUUAGGAAGGCACUUCUAUAGUAGAUCACUUAAAUGAGAUGCAAGGGUAUGUGGACCAAUUGUUAGGAAUGGGCAUGCAUGUUGAAAAUAAGAUGUUCGCUCUUAUACUGCUUACUUUUUACCAGAGUUCUGAGAAACUUUGAAGAUUUCACUUACAAACUCUGCAUCAAAUGGUAUAUUAAGUACAAAUUAGGUGAAGAGUGAAAUUUUGAAUGAAGAGAUGAGACAAAGAUCAUAGAGUUCAGUAUUUUCUUCUCAAUUAGAGGCCCUAGUUACAGAAUCUAGAGGAAGAAGUCAAUCUAAAGGUUCAAAGCCUAUAGAUAAGUAUAGAGAGAAGUCAAACAAGUAUGCCAAUGUAGAAUACCAUUAUUACAAGAAGAAUGGUCAUAUCAAAAUAUUAUGCAGGAAGUUCAAGAAGGAAUAAGAGAAGGAGAAAGGCAAAGGAGUAAAGAAAGAUUACAAUAAUGACGAUGAACAUUAAAGUGCCCUUGGUGAAUUUAACAUCGUCUGUGAUGAAGAUUUAGUUAGUUUGGCAACUAAUGAAACCAGCUGGGUGAUUGACAGCAGCGCAACUAUUCAUGCAACUUCUCGAAGGGGAUCUUUUCCUCUUAGACACCAGGGAAUGUCUGCUUAAUGAUAGAAAAUGGGACAAAACUAGUCCUUAUAGAUAUCAGGCAUAUUCCAGAUAUGUGGCUGAACUUAAGCUCUACAGGAAGACUUAAUGAUGAAGGUUUCUAAAACACAUUCUCAAAUGACAAUUGGAAGCUCACCAAAGGCUCACUAAUAGUGACUAGAGGCUCGAAGCAUUCAAAGUUGUAUGUGAUAUAGGCAAAGCUCUUCAGUAAUGCUGUGAAUAUAGUGGAGAAAGAAGGUGUAGCUGAGUUAUGGCAUAAGAGACUCGGCCACAUUAAUGAGAAAGGGAUGAAAAAAUUAAUAAAGAAGAAUGUAUUAUCCGGAGUGAAUGAGAUGCAUUUGAACAAGUAUAGUGAUUUUCUAGUAGGAAAGCAUAGUAGAGUAGUCUCAAGAGUUCCCCUCCUUCCAGAAUGAAGAACAUGUUGGAUAUGGUACAUUCAAAUUUGUGCGGGUCAUUCUCAAAGUCACUUGAUGGUGGUCAGUACUUUGUGACUUUCAUUGAUGAUCAUACAUGGGCCUACACUUUAAAGUUAAAGGAUCAAGUUCUGGAUGUCUUCAAGCAGUUUCAUGCCUCAAUUGAAAGACAGACUAAGAAGAAACUCAAAUGUAUUCGAAUAGCAUGGUAGAGAGUAUUGGACCAUUUCAUACUUACUGCAACGUGCAUGGUAUUUGACAUCAGACAACACCUCCAAAGACGACGUAGUUAAAUGGUUUAGUUGAAAGGAUGAACAGGACUUUGGUGGAGAGAGUUAGAUGCUUACUCUCACAUUCAAAGCUAUACAAGUCAUUUUUGGGGUGAAGCUCUGCUGGCAGCAGUUUAUAUGUUGAAUCUCUCACCCUGUGUUCCUCUACAGUAUGAAACUCCAUAGAGAUUAUGGUCAGAAAAGAAAGUCUCUUAUGAUCAUUUGCAGGUAUUCAGAUGCAAAGCCUUUAUUCAUGUUCCUAAGAAUGAGAGAUCCAAGCUUAAUGUAAAGACACGACAGUGCAUAUUUAUUGAGUAUGGUCAAGAUCAAUUUGGCUACAGAUUCUAUGAUCCGGUCUAGAAGCGGCUUGCAAGGAGCAGUGAUGCAGUGUUUGUUGAAAAUGAGACCAUCAAGGAUAUUGGCAAGAAGCAGAAAGUUGUCCCAAAACUUUAUAUUGACUCAAUAGACUUAGAGUUGAUUCCUCCAAUAGAGGUGCCAAGACAAGUUGGAGAUGGAGUUUAGAAAUAUCAAACAUUAAGUAGAUAAUGCUCCUACUGAAGACAAAUCAAAUAAUGAGAAUGACAAUAAUGUGCAACCACCAGUACUGAUAGAGCAUAUUUUAGUCCAUAUUAUCAUGAUCUUAUUGAUGUUUAUUUACACCUUUUCUAUCUAAUUUUGUGGUUUUAAUCAUAUUUUGCAGAUAUUAGGUGUAAAGAGACAAUCUGGAGAAAAUGCUCUUAAAACUGCCAAAAAGUGCCAAAUAUGAAAAGUGCCCAAAAAGGAAAGUUUUCAAAUAUGGAAAGUGCUAAAUAAGUAAAGUUUUCUGAUAAGGAAAGUGCCAGAAAAGGAAAGUGCAAUCAACAGAUUAUUUGAAAUUCAAAUUGCAGAUUCUUCUUUCCUUAUUCAGAAGGUGAAGCCAAUUAUGGAAAGUGUCAAAUAAGGAAAGUUUUCAGAAAAGGAAAGUCCUCAAAUAAGGGAAGUGCAGAAGCAAAAGCAAAUAAGGAAAGCUCAGUCAGAAGAUUAUUUGAGAUUUAAAUCGCAGAUCUUUCUUUCCUUGUUCAAAGAUGUGCACACACUGCAGCAGUCAUAUCUUCCUAUUUAGGCAGCAAGAUCUCAUGAAGACACACUUGCCUCUUCUACAUUCAGCAUUCAAAAUUCAAACGAAGGCUCCACCUAAAAAGAAAAGACUGGACAGAUUCACUUUCCCUUCUGAAUUCAAUGACUGCGCUCCACUUCCUCUUCUGCAAUCCGCGCGCAUCCUUCCUCUUCUGAAGCUUGAUCCGUGCGCCUCCUUCCUUCUGGAGAAUUUGCAACGCGAUUCUUUCCUUUUCAGCACUUUGGGCAGCCUCUUCACUAAUUAGGAAGCAAGUAUGACCUAGAGCAGCACUUUCAACUAUAAAAAGACACAUAAGGAGCCUCCACACAGCUUUUACACACCACCUUGGAGACACCUACGAAUUCAUAUCUUUUCUUCUACCUUUCUUUUUUUCUUUUAUUUUUAUUUUUGUUUCAGCCAUGAGAGGCUGAAAUCUUUUAUUCUAGUUGAAGAUUAGGUGAUACUUUAGUUGUUAUAUAGAUUGGGAGACUUGAUCAAACAUUGUUUAACUUUUGGUUGUUCAAUAUUCGUGCAAUUUCAUGCUUGAUUUCAAUAUUGCUUUGUUGUUUAGAUCUGCGUUGACUCUUGAUUGCAAAGUAAUAAUAUGUUAGUUUGGAUGAUUUAAGUCCGUAAUUGCUUGGAUUAUUCAAACAUAAGAACACUUGGUGUAAAAACUAAGGAUAUUGUAUGAUCUAAUGACAUCUCAUGCGUUUGAGUAGUUAGGAUUGGAUCUCUCUCUUUCUUCAUGCAAUUAACAAUUGUUUUGAUGCCUAAGGCCCAAGGACGUUCCUUGGCAAUUUGUUAAUUAGUAAUUAAUUAGAGGACGUUCCCUAAUUGAUUUAAUCAUAAGGAGAGACAUGGUGGUGAGAAGCGUCUUCCAUCUCCAUAACUAAUCUAUUGAAUCAAUCAAAAGAAACUAAGUGUCAAUGAUCAAUCCCAACAACUGAAGUGGAUCCAAUUCUUCAACUAGAGCUUUCUUAUUAUUUAUUUCUCUUUUAUUUUAUUAUUCGCUUAUUUUAAUUGCUUUCAGUAGUUUGUUAAUCAAAUCAAUCUCAAAUCCCCCCUCCAUUUUACUUUUACUGCAAUUUAUUUUUAUUCCGCUUUCAGAUUUAUCUCGUUUCAGUUUUAUCUCAUUUUAGUUUAUUUCUCUUUCAGUUUAUUUUUGCUUUCAAAUUUAUCUCGUUUUAGUUUUAUCUCGUUUCAGUUUAUUUUGCUUUCCGUUUAUUUCUCUUUCAGUUUUAUCUCGUUUCAGAUUAUCUCAUUUUCAGCUUUCUUCUUUUUCAGUUUAUUUUUGUUUCAGUUUAUUUUAUUGGUUUUGAUAAGGAAAAUAGGUAAGUUCUCAAUUCCCUGUGGAUUCGAUCCUUUCACCACUAUCUGCAGUUGUAAAUUAUUGAUAACCAGAAAUGUUAUUUUUGACCGGUUUCGACAACCGCGAGUCAAAAAUUGGCUCUGUUGCCGGGGAAUUGAUUUAACUUAUUUGUUUUUCUUUCAAGACCAAAUUAAAAAAAAAAAUUUGAAGACCAGCUUUGCGCAGGAGCACCUUCUGCAACACAUUCGGCCGUCGAACCUCAUCCUCAUUCGACCGCCGAACAUCUCACCAAGGCACAGUCACCAUCGCAGAUCUGAAUCAUGGAUGAGGUAAAUAGAUCUGAUUUUUCUUUACUGACAUCUUUUAUGAAAGAAUUUGCCAUAGGACUAGUUCAACAGGUUCAAGCAUCCCAGCCACCAAGGCCAUAUAGGAUCUGUGGAUAUGUGGGACACUCAACUGAUCAAUGUCCUACACUUUAUCAGUAUGACCAACCAGUGCAUGCGUUUGAAAGAUUCAAUAGUCAGCCUAGACAUGCAUAUGGAGGAUUCUAUAAACAGCCAAGACAUGAUCCAUACUAUAACACAUACAAUCCAGGUUGGGGAGACUAUUCAGACUUUAGUUAUACAGAGGCUAAUAACUACCAGGAUUAUCAAGGAUAUCAAGCCCAACCAGCACCUCCAAAUUCCACCCAGCACCUUGAAAAGAUGAUGGAGUCCAUGGUAAGUACUUUACAAAACCUUUAACAACGGAUUGCCACCGCAGAAAAUGCAAACAUGUUGAGAAGGGAGGAAGAGUUUCAAGAUGAUGAGGAAGAUGAUGAAAGUUGGCAAGUACAUGAACAAGCUACUGAAGAGAAUGAGCCAAGAAAAUUUUUAUAUAGAUCAAGAUGAUAUGCUAAACAGUGAUCUUUGCAGGGAAAAGAGCCAGAAAGAGCCAGAACUGAAAGAAAUUGACUGUUGCAUCCAACAGGUGAACUGCAGCCAAGCACAGACUGAAGGGAGCUCUGUCGCACCUCUUCAAGAGAAUUCGCAGAUGAGCCUUGCGCAACUUGAAGCCACCUCCAUCGCAUCCUUUCAGCUUCCAUUGCAUGAAACCCCUUCCAGUCAUCCCUUUCAGGUAAAUCUUGCGCAGAAGGAGCAAUCUGAAACUCCUUUCAGCCUUUCAACACAAACAGCCCAUGCUCACGAGGAACAAAUGGAAGUUCAAGAGCCCAAACCAAAGGACCAUGCGGAUCAAUGCUUGCCCAAACCUCCAGAUAAGGUAGAGUUUGUUUUGCCAGAUUUUAGUACUAAAUUGCAGCUAGCUAUGGAGAAAUAUCAAUUGAAGUUGGAAGUGCUCAAAAAUGCAAACAUAAGAGCUAGAGGCACACCUCAUCUGAAAGAGGAAGGGCUAAUCAUGUUACUUCAUGAGUACAUGAAAGAAAGAGGAUGGGUUAUGACCAAAUCAAAAGGAGUGCUACACUUUCUACUCAAUUCAGUUGGGACUCUUUUCCCUUCCCUAAUUACUUGAGCCUUGAUCAAGUGGAUCACACCAUGCACACCACACCCAGGGGAGUACUCAGUUUCUUUUGCAUUUUAAUAUUUCCUAUACAUUGAGGAUAAUGCAUGAUUUAGGUGUGGGGAUGCAUAUUUCUGAAUUUUUAAUUUUUGCUUUGAUUUUCAGUUUGAAUUUUUAUUUUCAUUUUCAGUGUGAUUUUUUUUCAAUUUUUCGUUUUGUUUUCAAUAACACACACAACCACAGUCUUCUUCCUUUUUGUGUUCCGAUUUGCUUCACUCAAACUGAUAGACUGUGUUGAUGAGCUUUUCUUUCCAUGACCCCAUUGAUGUAAUGACUCUUUAAACUUAUGUUGAAUCAAUUGCAGUGAAUUAUAUUCAUGUUUGAGAAUUGCCUUUUGAAUUGAAUCUUUGAGUUUGUCAUGGUGAAAAAUAUAUUGAUGACACUCAUUAGAGAGAAUAAAUUGAAAAUUGUGUGAAUGAAUUUAACAGGACUUGAUUUAGCAAUUGGUGUUGAUUUGCCCAAAUCAUUGAGAGAAAGAAAUUCACAAAGGCUUAGACUUCAAAAGCACAAAUUGAAAACUGUUCCAAUGGUCAAAAGACUAUGAACAGAGCUAGUAGCCACUUGGACAGAUGACCAACUGAGUAACUGGGGGUGGGUAUCACAAAUAUGUACAUUCACGUCAAAAGGUUGGUGACUUGUUCAAGCAAAAUUAAAAGUGCAAAAAGCUGAAUAAAGUACUUCAAGGUAAGGGCAAGUCACUCUGAAAGCUAGAAAAAGUCUUAUCUGAACAAAUAAUAUGUGCAUGUAUGAUCUCUCUUGAGUAAAACAAAUCCUAGCUAUGGUAAGCAAAGGGAAACAAGGAAAGAAGGUGAGUAAUCUUCAUGCAUAUAUUCUUCACUGCAAUGAUUCAAAAUAGGUGUUUAGAGUAAGAGCUUAAGUGAAAAUAAGGAUCUAGAGUAAGAAAGCUUGUUUGACUAUGUUUAUUUGCUUGAGGACAAGCAAAAGGUAAGGUGUGGGGGUAUUUGAUAGAGCAUAUUUUAGUCCAUAUUAUCAUGAUCUUAUUGAUGUUUAUUUACACCUUUUCUAUCUAAUUUUGUGGUUUUAAUCAUGUUUUGCAGAUAUUAGGUGUAAAGAGACAAUCUGGAGAAAAUGCUCUUAAAACUGCCAAAAAGUGCUAAAUAUGAAAAGUGCCCAAAAAGGAAAGUUUUCAAAUAUGGAAAGUGCUAAAUAAGUAAAGUUUUCUGAUAAGGAAAGUGCCAGAAAAGGAAAGCGCAAUCAACAGAUUCUUUGAAAUUCAAAUUGCAGAUUCUUCUUUCCUUAUUCAGAAGGUGAAGCCAAUUAUGGAAAGUGUCAAAUAAGGAAAGUUUUCAGAAAAGGAAAGUCCUCAAAUAAGGGAAGUGCAGAAGCAAAAGCAAAUAAGGAAAGCUCAGUCAAAAGAUUAUUUGAGAUUCAAAUCGCAGAUCUUUCUUUCCUUGUUCAAAGAUGUGCACACAUUGCAGCAGUCAUAUCUUCCUAUUUAGACAGCAAGAUCUCAUGAAGACACACUUGCCUCUUCUACAUUCAGCAUUCAAAAUUCAAACGAAGGCUCCACCUAAAAAGGAAAGACUGGACAGAUUCACUUUCCCUUCUGAAUUCAAUGACUGCGCUCCACUUCCUCUUUUGCAAUCCGCGCGCAUCCUUCCUCUUCUGAAGCUUGAUCCGUGCGCCUCCUUCCUUCUGGAGAAUUUGCAACGCGAUUCUUUCCUUUUCAGCACUUUGGGCAGCCUCUUCACUAAUUAGGAAGCAAGUAUGACCUAGAGCAGCACUUUCAACUAUAAAAAGACACAUAAGGAGCCUCCACACAGCUUUUACACACCACCUUGGAGACACCUACGAAUUCACAUCUUUUCUUCUACCUUUCUUUUUUUCUUUUAUUUUUAUUUUUGUUUCAGCCAUGAGAGGCUGAAAUCUUUUAUUCUAGUUGAAGAUUAGGUGAUACUUUAGUUGUUAUAUGGAUUGGGAGACUUGAUCAAACAUUGUUUAACUUUUGGUUGUUCAAUAUUCGUGCAAUUUCAUGCUUGAUUUCAAUAUUGCUUUGUUGUUUAGAUCUGCGUUGACUCUUGAUUGCAAAGUAAUAAUAUGUUAGUUUGGAUGAUUUAAGUCCGUAAUUGCUUGGAUUAUUCAAACAUAAGAAUACUUGGUGUAAAAACUAAGGAUAUUGUAUGAUCUAAUGACAUCUCAUGCGUUUGAGUAGUUAGGAUUGGAUCUCUCUCUUUCUUCAUGCAAUUAACAAUUGUUUUGAUGCCUAAGGCCCAAGGACGUUCCUUGGUAAUUUAUUAAUUAGUAAUUAAUUAGAGGACGUUUCCUAAUUGAUUUAAUCAUAAGGAGAGACAUGGUGGUGAGAAGCGUCUUCCAUCUCCAUAACUAAUCUAUUGAAUCAAUCAAAAGAAACUAAGUGUCAAUGAUCAAUCCCAACAACUGAAGUGGAUCCAAUUCUUCAACUAGAGCUUUCUUAUUAUUUAUUUCUCUUUUAUUUUAUUAUUUGCUUAUUUUAAUUGCUUUCAGUAGUUUGUUAAUCAAAUCAAUCUCAAAUCCCUUCUCCAUUUUACUUUUACUGCAAUUUAUUUUUAUUCCGCUUUCAGAUUUAUCUCGUUUCAGUUUUAUCUCGUUUUAGUUUAUUUCUCUUUCAGUUUAUUUUUGCUUUCAGAUUUAUCUCGUUUUAGUUUUAUCUCGUUUCAGUUUAUUUUGCUUUCCGUUUAUUUCUCUUUCAGUUUUAUCUCGUUUCAGAUUAUCUCAUUUUCAGUUUUCUUCUUUUUCAGUUUAUUUUUGUUUCAGUUUAUUUUAUUGGUUUUGAUAAGGAAAAUAGGUAAGUUCUCAAUUCCCUGUGGAUUCGAUCCUUUCACCACUAUCUGCAGUUGUAAAUUGUUCAUAAUCAGAAAGGUUAUUUUUGACCGGUUUCGACAACCGCGUGUCAAGUACCUAUAGCUUCUCCAAUUCCACAAAGGAGAUUUGGAAGAGUUAGACAACCCUUUGCCAAAUACUUUAGAGACUAGUACGUGUUGCUAACUGAUGAGAGAGAACCAAAAAGUUUUGAAGAAGCUAUGGAAGACGAACAUAAACAGAAGUGGAUUGAGGUCAUGCAAGAUGAGAUAAAGUCCUUGCAUGAGAACAAGAUAUUUGAAAUGGUGAAGCUGCCCAAAGAAAAGAAAGUUUUGAAGAAUAAAUGGGUAUUUAAAAUCAAGCAUGAUGAACACAGUCCCUAUCAUUGAUUCAAAGCCAAAUUGGUUGUGAAGGGUUUCAACCAAAGAAAGGGUAUUGAUUUUGAAGAGAUAUUCUCACUAAUGGUGAAGAUGACAUUCAUCUGAAUAGUAUUAGGCCUAGCCACUACUCUUAAUCUAAAGAUUGAAUAGAUGGAUGUAAAGUCUGCCUUCCUUCAUAGAAAUUUGGAGAGCAGGCAGAAGGUUUCAAGAAGAAAGGAAAAAAAGACUAUGUUUGCAAGCUGAAGAAAAGCUUGUAUGGCUUGAAGAAGGUACUGAAAUAGUGAUACAAGAAGUUCGAGUCUAUCAUAGGGGAACAGGGUUAUAAGAAGACUACUUCAGACCACUGUGUAUUUGUUCAGAAAUUCUCUAAUGGUGAUUUCAUCAUCCUUUUGCUCUAUGUGAAUGAUAUGCUUAUUAUUGGCUAGAAUGUCUCUAGAAUUAACAAUUUGAAGAAGCAACUGAGUAAGCCUUUUACAUGAAUGUCUUAGGGGCCAACAAAGCAGAUUCUUGGCAUGAAGAUAAUAAGAGAUAGAAGUAGUAAGAGGUUAUGGUUGUCACAGGAGAAUUACAUAGAGAAAUUAUUUUAAAAGUUCAACAUGGAGCAUACUAAAGUGGUUUGUUGUCCUCUUGCCAGCCACUUUCAUCUCAAUUCAAAGCAGAAUCCUUUCACAGAUGAAGAGAAUGAAGAAAUGGAUAGGGUUCCUUAUGCUUCAACAAUUGGAAGCUCAAUAUAUACUAUGGUAUGCACACGGUCAAAUAUUGCUCACGCAGUCGGAGUAAUGAGUCGGUUUCUUUCAAAUUCAGGAAAGGAGCACUAAACUCCAGUAAAUUAUAUUAUGAGAUAUCUUCGUGACACUUUCAAACUAUAUUUAUGUUUUGAAGGUAGUAAAUAUGUGUUAGUUGACUAUACAGAUGCAAAUAUAGCCUAUGAUGUUGACUUGAAAAAGUUUACGUCAGGAUAUUUGAUAACAUUUACAGAAGAAUCGGGUCAUGGCAGUGAAAAUUACAAAAGUGUGUUACUCUUUCCACUAUUAAAAUAGAAUUUAUUACAACAACUAAAGCUUGUAAAGAGUUGCUGUGGAUGAAAAUGUUUUUGAAUGAAUUUAGACUCCGGCAAAAAAAAAAAUCAAUUAUUUUGUAGCAAUCAGAGUACUAUUCACCUUGAGGAAAAUGUCAUUUUCCAUUCAAGAUCGAAGUAUAUUAAUAUGAGAUAUCAUUAGAUCAGGAAUGUGUUGAAAAUAAAGUAACUACUGCUUAAAAAGAUCCAUAUAGAAGAAAAUGAAUUAGUUAUGUUGAUCAAAAUUUUACCAAGAGAAAGUUUGAGUAUUGUUGUCUAACAGCUGGAAUAGUGGAACCCUCCAUGUAGUCGGAAGGAGAAAAAUUAUUAGGUAAAUCUCUCCAGCACACAAAUGAUUAUGAAGAUUUAAAAAAAAAAAAAAAGUUUCCAGCCACAAAACUAAUGCUACUAACGUGGCUCUCUUUCCACCAAAUUGACCAAAUCUCCUUUGAUUUUAGGGGUGAGCAUUCGGUGAACCGAACUGAAUUUGAAAAACUGAAAAACUAAAAAUAUUAAAAUUUAAGAUCCAACUAAACCAAUAUUAUAUGAAUAACUGAAUCAAAUCAAACUUAUUUUUAACAGUUCGGUUCGGUUCAAAAAAAUCAAAAGUUUUAUCCAAUAAAUUUCAAUUUGCUUAAUUUCUAAUUUGUUUAUUAUUCUGAGUAUUGUUUUCAAUUAUAUUUAUCAAUUAUCAAACUAAACAAAAAUCAAUUUAGGAAUAUUAAUAUCAAUUUAUUUGCGAGUGCAAUAAAAUUUUUAAACAAGUAUCAAAAAUCAAACAAAAUAAUAUACAAUUUUAUAUCAAUAUUAUUAUUAUUUCAAUCUCUUCCUAUUAACAGUUUUCUCAUCUCAAAUGAAACAUUCCCAAAACUCAAAAGAAAAAAAAUUGUGUAUAGUAAUCCAAAAAAAAGCAUAAACCCUUUACCCACAACAUAUUUUAACAAUUAAUAAAUUAAAAAUUAAAUCCAAAAAAUUAAAAAAUAAAAGGAAAACAAAGCAUCAACCUAAAUAUAUGGAGAACAAUAAUUAUUUCAUAAGUUCACACCUUUCAACCCAAACAAGAAGAAAGUUAUGGAUGUUUUGAUGUGCUUUGGAGAAGUUUUGCGCCAUUGAGCAAAAAAUAGAUCAAGAGGAAUUGAGACAGAAUAAAGGUUGUGCAAAUUGAAGAAGAAGACGAAGACGAAGACGAAGACGAAGACGAAGACGAAGACGAAGACGAAGACGACAACAAAGACGAAGAUGACGAUGAGGGAAGAAACGUAAUCAAGAAGAUGACAACGAUAAGGGGAGCAACGAAAUCAAAAAAAAAGAAGAAGAUUAGAAUCAAUAGAGGGUGUUGAAGACUCAUCUAAAAUAAAAAGAGAGGGGAAAAUGGAAGCGACUAUAAUAGUUAGGGUUAAAACUUAAGAUUCAUAUAUAUAAGACCGGUUUAAUUUUUCUCAUUGAUUUUGGUUAAUUAAUCAAAUCAAACUAAAAAUUAAAAUAAAUAAAAAUUAAUAAUCAAACUAAACUGAAUGAAUUAUUUAAUCGAAUGUAACCGAUCAGUUCAAUUUAAUUCGGUUUAAUCUUUUAGUUUUGAUCGAAAACUGCUUUGUUUUACUUGAUUUGACAAUCAAUUGCAAGAGCAACACUCUUCUCUAUGAAUAGGCAAGAGGCAUUGGGAAUCAAGGAAACACAAGUGCAAAUAGCUUCAGCAAUUUGAGUAUUCUUUGAGGAUUUUGAGAGUUUCAAAGCUUGCAGCUUUGAAGAGAAAAAUAUUGAGAGAGAGUUUAUUUGAAAAGUAAUAAAAAUAGUAUGAAAAAUAUAUUGAAUAUUUUAGAAAAGACUUUCAGUGAUAUUAUUUUUGGAUAGAUUUCACUUGUAGCUCUUUUUUUAUACCUGCUAUUUAUAAUAAUGAAAAAUUAUUUAUAAUUUAACCUUUGAUUAUAGGUCAAAAUUAAAAAUUAAAUCAUAUUAAAAUUAUCGUGUGCUAUUUAUUUAUUUUUUUAUAAUAUUUUAUUUUUAUUAUUUUAAAAACAAUGUUUUUCAACACAUUAUUCUCCCAUUAAUUAACUCAUUUCCAAACAUGCAGUUUUUCCAUUGUAGCCUCCUUAGCUUUCCUCCUUCUUACCUUUUCUUAUCCUUUCAUUGAUUACUCUUUUCUUACCUCGUUCAAGCAUAGUCUAAUAUUCAUCUUAUGAAAAGCAAAGGAGUCGAAUAAUAAACAUUUGGGCUUAUCUAAUGAAUUUUAAAAUUAAUAAAAAAAAUUUUUUAAAUUUUGAAGGUUUUUAGUAUAUAUUUCAAAAUCAAGAUAUUAUCUAAUGAAUUUUAUUAUAUUGUGUGAUUAAAUAAUAAUUUUUUUUUUCUUUAAUAAACUCUUUGAAGUAUCAUAAAACGACACUGUUUUCGUUCUUUCAAUAUUUUCGAUUGGCCUGGAGAAAGAGAAAUAAGACUCGGCCCUCACCAGAAGUUUCAAUAGACACACAAGGGACACCUCUCACAAGCAAUUGCUUCCAUAGAUUCGAGACUCCCAUCACUUUCGGUGAGUCUCUCUCUACCUCUCCCUCUCCCUCUCUAUUAGGGUUUCUUUUCUCAGGUCGCAUCAUCCUCUGUUUUGUCACUGACACACAGUAUCAGACGGAUGUACAUUGAUUUUGAUUUCACUUUACAGUGAUUGAUUUUUUGUUCGUUUAUUGAGGGGUUUUUAUGGGGAUAUAUUUAUGAAGUGGGUCUUGGUAGAAUUUUGAAUCUGAUAUAUGAAAUAUUAGUUGAGGAAUUUUAUUCCGUUGAAGGGUGAUGAUGAGUUGGUGAAAUAAGGGUCUGGGUAAUUCUAGGUAUGCACAAAAAUCUGUCUAAAAACCUUGUAGAAUGAUUCUUUAGGAAUUUGUCACAUGGAUUUCAAGGAUUUAGAAUGGGAACUGGAUUUUUUGGCAGUUGAUUAGAGAUUUUUAAUAUUUUAGCUGUUCAGUUUUGUUGUAUUGGCCUUGAAAAGUAAUGCUCGGUUUGUUUUUGUAUUACUGUUUCUUUGUGAUGUUAUUGUAAGGAAAUUUGCAGUUGAAGGAAUGGUUGAGAUAAUAUUUGUGAUUAGUAGUCAGAAACCCCACUGUCUGGUGUACAAUAGAAUAGCGGGUUUGUACCUAAGUUCCCUGAUGUGGAUGGCUUUUGUUUGGAACAAAAAUGAGAAAACGUAAUGUCUUUUCUAGAAAUGCAGCAUUUUCGUGGAGACGAAAUAUUAUCCAGUUUGCAUAUGUAACAAAAUGUAUAAAAUACCAUAUAAAAUGCAUUGAAAGAUCUAUGCAAGUACAAUAAUUUAGUCGCAGUUUUUUUUUCUUUUGUAAAAAAAAUCAUUAUACUACUUAAUGCUAUAAAGCACCUGCAAGCCAGAACUUACAGCAUAUAAUGAUAAUAGAAAAACUUCAUUUGAGGUUUUUAUUCCUUUGUGAUUGUUUAUCAAUUCAUAUUUGUUUCAAUAUGUUAUUUUUAUUGUUUCACAUCACUAUUGAAUCUGGAUCAUGUGAUCUGGAGUCAUUUUGCUAGAGGAGGUAGAGGAAGGUGGUAACUUUGGAUUGUUCAGUUAUUCUUAUUUUGCUCAUGACAUUUGGUUGUAUGGACUUGUUGGCUUUUUUUUUUUGAAAUACAAAGAUUGAGAAUUGUUAAUAAAGUAGCUGAUAAUUUUGGUACCAUAUACUAGUUGAUCAUUGCUACUAUGCCUUGUAUGAUGUAUCUUCUCUUUGUGCAUUUUGCUUUUUCGAUCAUUUGCACUAUUCAAACAAUAACCUAAUCCAACCUGGUCCCACCCAUUUGCCAGUUGACUAUAAGCGUAAGAAUAUGGUAAUUGAUUCCUUAAUGUAUUUGCUGUGAAUAAUUGAGUUAGUUAUAACUUGUUUUAUCUAAUGGAGUGGAAUAAUUUCUAGCAAUAGAAUGAUUAGAUAAUUUCAAAAUUAAUUUUUAGAAUGAUUCUGUACUGUAAUUAGGUAAGUUAUUUGUUUUAAUUUAUAGAAUGAUUAGAUAAAUUUUGCUAAAGGUAUAAUUUGUUUAAGUUACAAGGGAAAAUGAAAAAACUGAAAAGAAAAAAGAAAAAAAAAAAAGAAAUAUUUCUAGUGAGCCUGAUUAAUAGAAAACAAAGAAAAUUUUCUGGACUGAACCUUAUUUUGAUGUUAAAAAGGAAAAGCCUGUAAACAACUUAAUGUAAACCUCUGAUCUGGUUGAGGAAUAAACAACUUCUUAUGUCAUUUCUUUUUUUGCACAAGUAUUUACUUUAUUGAUAUUAUGGGGAAAAGAGUAAUCUUUGAAGUAUUUUCAUUGGAGAACAUAAUAUUAAUUUUGCCAUCUGAGAUCCAGAAAAUAGGAUUUCUAGUACGUGUGUGUAAGCUUGAGUCCGGGAAGGUGCCCUCCUCCCUUUAUCCUUUUCCUUUUGUCUAUCUCAUAGCUACAGUACCGCCUGUCUCUGUCAUACAGACCCGUACGUACAAAAGCGUCAGACGUCUGCCUCACACCAGGCGGCCAUUUAAUUCCCCUCGGCGCGCGCGUAGACAGGGCUGCGAAGGGACGGGGCCUGCUCGUUUCUCUCCAGGUCCUAUCAUCGGGCCGGCUUCCUUCUUACCGGGCUCGGGCUUGCAAACGACUCGGCCUAUCAUUCAGGCUGGACUCCGGGCCGAAGCCGCUGGAUAGGCCCACCUAGGAGUGUUCCGAUCUCAAGGCCUGAUCUGCUUUUAUGGGCCCCGACUCAGCCCAAGUAGGUGUGAGGCCUAGUGGUUAUCACCAUUAUUCUUUCUUUUUUCUUCUCUCUGAUCAAGUUUGUUUUAAACAAGCUGUAGCUCUAAGAGGGAAAAAGUAGAAAAAGUUUAAGGGAAAAAGUAGAAAAAGUUUAUGGCUAUGUGCCAUUCAUUGAAGGAAAGAAAAAAGCAAAUGAAUGUUUCUGGGUGGGUGACCAAUUUUUGUAUGUAAGAACUUUUAUUCAUUUCAUAGUAUACAUGUAAAACCUAUAAAAAAAUUUCUUCCGCAUUAUAGACAACCUUUUGUCCUUAUAAUUAUUGCUGAUUCUAGAGUAUGAUAAGAGGAUAGGCCUUAAAGAAUAGGUUUGUUAAGGAUAAUCUUUAGACAGAUAAUUUAAGUGAUAAAAUGUAUUGAGUUAGGUUAAGGUUAAGCUGUGUAUGUAUGCAUAGACUAGGUUCUUUUGAUAAUUUCCUCUCCUUGCAUGAUAAUUUAGAAAUCUAACUUUAAAAGUAUGACUAAAUAAUCUCUUUUCCAAGUAUUCUAUUCUCAGUCUCAAUUUUAGCAUAUGUUAUCUGCUCUCUAAAUGUCAGCUUUUUUAAAUAUUUUAGUGCAUCAUGGAUUCAUGGUACUGCCAUCUCCAUCCUUGAUCUCCAGCUUUUGUGCUGUGCUGCUGCUGUGUUUCACAGCUAGGAUUUGAUUUUUGUUUUAUAUUUACUAUUUGAUAUAUAAUCUAAUAAUGGAAUACUUGUUUUUUUUAGGAUUUUAUAUAGUUGUAUAACUUUAUUUCCCCGUCAUCUAUAUAUAUAUAUAUAUUACUAUGACUAUUUAUAGAUGGACUCUGAUGGUAUUGAAGUGAUUCUUGAAUAGUAACAAUCUAACAUUAAAAGGGGAUAUGAAGAGGAAAAUGAAUAUUAUAAUAGGCCAUGGUUUAUGUGGUUAGUAUUUAAGAUUUCUCUUUCAUGUUUUGAGUUUUUUCUUUUGCAGUUUGAGCAUGGCAGCCAAGUAUAUCAUUCCUGGUGUUAUUGGAUCAUUUGCAAUAGCAUAUUUAUCUGACCUACUUAUUGCUGACAAGAAGAUAUUUGGAGGUAAAUUAUAUCAUCUUCUUGGAUAUGUUUUUGAUGCCUGUUGCUGUGUUUUUGUUUUCCCACUUAUUUUUCAAAUUUUCCCAACUUAGGCACUACCCCUAAAACUGUUGCAAGCAAUGAAUGGUGGGAAGAAACUGACAAGAAAUUCCAGGCAUGGCCUCGUACUGCAGGGCCACCAGUUGUCAUGAAUCCAAUCAGUCGCCAGAACUUCAUCGUGAAGUCCCGCGAAUCUUGAAUCAAAAUUUAGCUGGUGAUCUGUUGGGUUAUUGAUUGAUAAUACUUUUAUUGAUAAUGUUUUGUCUGGUUUUAGUACUUAAAACAUUGCCACAAUUAGCUGAGAUGGGACCUUUAUUUCUUUUUAUUUGCUUACUCUUCAUGGAAAUAAGUUUUGAUUGGCAAUUGCUUUUAAAAGAAAAUAAAUGUAAAUGAAGGAUUCAGCUGUGGUUAAUGAAUUCCUUGGCUCAAACAGCUCAUUGCCUUGUUUUUGUUUUCAGUUGCUUGUUAGCAACAAUAACUUCCUUUUUUUCUUUUUUCUUUUUUCACUUCCAAUGGCCUUACCAGGCUAGGGCAGUUAAUUUUUUUUCAGUUGGAAUAUUUAAAAUGAAACAGUGAAUGAACAAAAAUUAUAAAAAAUUAGGAUAUUAAUAUGUUUAAUUCCCAAAGGACACAAUGGCCAUUGCAUUUAACUGUUAAGAAUCAAGAUGGUUGCCGGCACCAGAUCGCAACAGCACAAGUGCUGCAGCUUUAUAUUAUAUACAAAUCAGUUAGUUACCAACUCCUCAAGUUCAUUUAAGAACUAGUCGUUUCCUCGUUUGCCUGCACAAUAUUAAAAUAUUUUAUAUUAUUAUUAUAUAAAAUAAUAUAAAAUUAUUUUAUAAAAUAAUAUAUUUUUUGUAUGAAUUUAUUGAUUUAUUAAGAGGAGUAAAAUAUUUUAUUUUUUUUAUUCAAAUUUGAAAUUUGAAACUAUUUAUUAAUGGGAAUAAAUUAUAAUAUUUUAUUUAUUUAUUAGAAUUUAAAAAUAUUAUAAAAAACUAUUAAUUAAAUAAAUAAGAUAACUGUAGAAGAGAAUUAUAAAUUCAAUUAAUAAAUAUAAUUUUUAAUUUUAGAGCAAAAUUUUAAAGAUUUUAAAUCUUAAUCAAAUAUAAAACUAUACAUCAAUAAAUUUAAUUGUAUUAAAAAAAUUAAAAAUUUUAUUACUUUAUUAUUAUAUAUUAUUAAUAUUCAAUAACAAAUUUCAUUUGAGGAAUUAUUUUUUAAAAAAAAAUAAAAUUUAUUAAACUUCAAUACUAAAUAGCCGUGGCAGCAGAUGAUGGUAGCCGUGGAGCUGUGGAGAAAGAGAAGUACUUGAAUCAAAAAAUCUCAACAUUUAGAUACCUCUUAUUCAACUUUCAAAAUUUCAAUACUUGAAUAACUCUUAUUCAAUUUUUAUUUAUUUAAAAGUUUAAGUAAGUCGAUUGUUAAAAGUUUAUAAUUAAAGUAUUAUAAACACUAUUUUAUUUUUUUAUUAUAUUUUAAUUAUUUAUGUAUUUUUAUUUUUUAUAUAAAUUAUUUGAAUAGAAUAAAAUUUUAAUUUAAUAAUAUUUUAUACAAUUAGUUGGAUUAAUUCUUUAAUUGUUUUAUACUUUAUCAGAAUUAAUAUUUUUUAUAAUAAUUUUAAUUGAUUAUAUAUAUUUAUUUUAUAUAAUUAUUUAUAUUAAAAAAAUAAAAACAUAUAACAUUUAUUAAUUAGAUUAUAUUAGAUAUGAUUUCAAAAAAUUAUCAAAUCAAUAAAAAAAUUUUACAUAAUAUUUUGUUAUGGACUAUACAUAUAUAUAUUUACAGUGAUUUAUUUGUAUUAUUUAAACAUAUUUUUAUAUGAUAGGUACUUAAUUUUUAUAAAUAUAUUUUUAAUAUUAUAUUUAUUAUUAAAAUAAAAAUAUAAUAAUUUUUUAAUAAUAAAGCAUAAUAAAAUUUUUAUUACAAUAUUAAUAAUAUAUUAUAUUAAAAAAUAGUAAAAAUCAAAAUAUUAAUAAUAAUCAGUAUAAUAAAUUAUAUUUAUUGUAUCAAAAAGUUAUACAUUAACUGUGAUAAUAAAAAUAAUAAAUCAUAUUUAAUAUAUAUUAAUUAUUAUUUAUGUAGAAAAAAAUUAUAAAUGUAUGAAAAAAUUAUAAAUUUACGCUAUAUAUAAUAUAAUUUACGUAAGGUUAAUGGUGCACUUAACAAUCUCUUAUACAUUUGUUAUUAUUAUGAAUCAAUUAAUUAAUAAUGUUAGUUAUAUUUUUUUUCAAUUUAUUUAUUACUAAAAAUAAAAAUAUUAUUUUAAAGUUUAUUUUAUUGUAAUUAAUAUAUUAUAUUAAAAAAUUUAUAAAAAGUUAAAGGUCACAUAAUAAUAAUAAUGAUAAAAAAUUUAAAAAAAAUCAUAUAUAAAUUGUAAUAUUCUCCAUUUAUUAUGGAGAUAUUGAUUAAUCAUGUACUAAUAAUAAUGACAGAAAAUUAAAAAGUCAUAUAUAAAUUAUAAUAAUAAAAAUAAUAAUUUUUAUUUAUUAUAAAAAUAUUGAUUCGUAACGUUAUUAAAUAUGAAAAAAUAAUUUAAAAAUAUCUAAAUAUAACACUUGUCAAUCUCUCCCUAACCUAUUUUAAAAUCCAGAUAUAUAUAUAUAUAUAUAUGAAAUGACAUGAAACUUGGAAUUAUAUAUGAAAUGACAUGAAACUUGUAACAAGAAUUCCAACAGCUACUGGCAAAAUAAUUCCUUUUAUUUUCAGUUUUAAUUCAUCUGUCUUGCUUACUGCCAAAGAGAUGGCAGAACUUUAUCCUUUUGCAAUAUCACUUAAAUGAAUUGAAGAAUCAAACAUCCCAAUUUCUAAGAAUGGCUAAAAUACAAACAUCUUAAUUUAAGAGUUCACAAGAUUUGAAGAAAAGUAUGAUGGAACUUCAUUCAAAAAGAAGCUAUAAUUCAUUGUUCACAUAUAUUUCCAACAAGAAAUUUCAAAAUCAGAAGCUAAGCCAUUACAAUUGCAGACCUAAUAUGCAACAGAAACUCAUGGAGAGAUCUUUCAAAUUGAGCAGCCUCUUGCAUUAACCCACCACCUUUUCUCUCUCCAACAUGAGAACUUCAUAAUCUUCCUUUGCUCAUUAACAUUUUAGAACCAACAUUUACAGACUCCUCCUUUAGCCUCUAGGCGACAACUUCCAAAAUGAAAUGAAUAUUUAGGAAAAGUUUCCAUAAGAUGAGCAUUUUACCAGAAUCAUGAUCAACAGGUUCAGUAUGCAGAUAACUCAUGAGAAACAUCCAUCAACUUUGCUUUAUUUCUUGAAGCAUUUCAACUACCUUCUUCAUUUUUGGUCGCUUUGCCGGAGUGCUGUCCGUGCAGAGUAAUGCCACCUUAAGAGCUGCCAGCAUUUCUCUCCUCCAACCAAAGGAAACAGUGCUGAGUUUUGCAUCAAGUAUCUGCUCUGGAGUCUCUCCUCUUGCUGGAGCUCCAUGAACCCAUUUCACCAAAUCUACCCCUUCACCAAAGUCCUCAUCAACCGGCAGUCGAGUUGUUAAGAUCUCAAGCAAUACUACCCCAUAGCUAUAGACAUUUCCUGGUGCUGUAACUUGCAUUGUAUAUGCAUAUUCUGGAUGAUAUAAAAAUAUAAUAAACAUGAGAGAAAAAAAAAAUUCCCAUAUAUAAUGUGCGUUUGAAUUAAUCCGGCUAACCAAAUCUAAGAGAUAUUAGCUAAAGAAUUUGGCAACAAAGACUUCAUAGGCUGGUCAGGAGACACUUCAAAAUGUUGUUCAUUUUGAAUUCUUUCAUGCAGGCUAGAUAAACCAAAGCUCUAUUUUGGUAAACAAAAUAACAUACGGGCAAAAAACAGAGGAAAACAACUAGGAAUUGAUGAAAAUACUGCAUCAUGAUAUAAUUAAAUGUUCAAACAUACAGAAAAAAAAAAAAUAAAUAAAUAACAGUAGACACCUAUGAAACUACUAGUUUGAGAAUGAUUGAGCUCCAAGCAUAUAGAAUCAAAACAAUAUACCUGGUGGAAUAUAACCGAAGGAGCCUGCAACUGCACUUAUACUUGCAGUGCCUUUGGAUGGAUCUAGGAGCUUUGAUAUCUCAAUCUCCCCAACCAAGGGCCUGAAGUCAGCAUCUAAAAGAACAUUCCCUGAAGAAAUGUCAAGGUGGAUUACUGCCACAUGAUGAAGGAAAGCCAAUCCUUCUGCUACUCCUAUGGCAAUGGAUAGCCUAGUAGGCCAGUCAGGUUCAUACUCGGGUUGCUUGCUACUCUCGUGAACAAGCUGAGCUAAUGUCCCAUUGGGUAAAUAAUGAUGCAGCAAAAGAGCAACAUCUUCAUAAAUUACAUAUCCAAUAGGUCUCACCAAAUUAUCAUGACAGAGCUUACUCAGCCUUUCAAGCUCUCUAAUCAUCUUAUUCUGAUGAUGAAUUAUAGUCCUGUCCAUUGAUUUAAGUCUCCUCACAGCUAAUAUCAUCCCAGAAGGCAUGACUGCUUUGUAAACGAUGCUGAAUGUUCCAUUUGUGAGCUUAUUUGAAUCCUUGAGAGUUGCUUUAACAACAGCAUCAAAAUCUAUUGCUUGUCUGAGAUUUUCAACAAAGACAUGGCCUGCUAAUAUCGUUGGCCGGUCGUUGGCUACAUCAUCAGCAACCCCUGCAGUUUUGGCAUCUUUUUCUUGUCUUUCCCUCAUCAUAAACAGCAGGACAACUACAGUUACCGAGACAAAUACUGCUAAACCAGAACCAAUAACAGCUAGUAUAAUUCUGUAAGAAACCUUGUGAUGGUAAUUCACAUGACCAGAAGCAUAAGAAUUUCCACAUAAGAUGCUCAAUGGAUCUCCACAGAGCCCUUUGUUACCCAAAAAACUUGAAUUUGGACUCUUUUGGAAAGGUGCAAAAGUGGGUAUUGGGCCACUGAGCAGAUUAUUUGAGAAAUUAACCUCUAUCAAGCUCAACAUGCCUUUGAAUGAUUGAGGAAUAGUACCAGAAAGUUGAUUAUUGGAGACAUCCAAAGAAACCAAUUUGUCAAGUUUCCCCAAUUCAGGGGGCAGUGGUCCUUGGAGAUGAUUGUAGCUCAAAUUUAAGGCUAUUUGUAAGUUCCGAAUGCGACCAAUCUCUGGAGGGAUAUGUCCAGUCAAAUAGUUGCUGCCCAUUUGCAAUUCCAGAAGUUUCAUGCAGUUCCCAAUCUCAUGAGGUAUCUCACCUUUUAUUGAAUUCUGACCCAAAAGCAAGUAUUGCAAUCUUGACAUGUCACAGAUUUCGUUCGGUAUAGAGCCAUUUAAUUUAUUAUUGCUAACAUCCAGCUUGUUAAGACUCUUGCUCCCAAGAAUUGGUUUUGGAAUAUCUCCAAACAAAUUGUUACCUGAAAGGAUCAAUUCCUGCAAAUUUGCAAGCUGUCCAAGCUCAGAAGGAAUGACUCCACUAAAUCCAUUUGAGGCCAGAUUUAGAAGAGUGAGAUUAGAGCAUUGAGAAAACUCUGAGAUAAUAUCACCAGAUAAAUGAUUAUCAUCUGCUUCAAAAUAUGUGAGGCCACUAACAUUCCCAAUUGUCUUAGGAAGAACUCCUUCAAGAACAUUGUUGCCGAUUCGGAUGCUAGAAAGGCCCCUGCAGUUUCCAACUAAUUCAGGAAGUCCUCCACUAAAUCCAUUCUGGGUAAGAACUAAAACUUCCAACUUUCCCAUCACAAAAAUGCUACUAGGUAUAGGCCCUCUAAGCUGGUUUGAGUGAAGGUUCAACAACUUCAACUCAGAAACCGAACCGAGAUUAUCAGGAAUUUCACCACCCAAUUCAUUCUCAUAGGCUGUGAAAACUCUCAGGCUUGUCAAAUUACCCACCCAAGAUGGAAUAGAGCCAUUGAUGUUAUUACUAGAAAUUUGAAAUUCCUCUAAGCUUUCUAGACCCUCAAGCUCAUCAGGUAUCUCUCCUACUAGCAAGUUAUUGGAAAGGUUCAGUGAUUUAAGGCUUCUAAGACUACCCAACUCCAAGGGAAUCAAACCUUCAAACUUAUUUAAAGACAAAUCAAGGAACUCAAGCUGUGACAAUUUGCCAAAGGCUGAAGGAAUUAGACCAUGAAAGUUAUUGCCAGAAAGAUCAAGCCACGUCAAAGCUUUGAGCUCAGAGAUCAUGGUCACAUUACCUUGAAGGUCUAGCCUAGGAAGAGCAAGCCUUUCAACCAAUGAUUGAUUCAAGUUGCAUCCAAUGCCACGCCAGUUGCAGAAAUUUGUGCCGUUGUCACCCCACCCAGGAACUUUAAUCUCUUUAUUAAUGAGUAACAGUGUAGCUUGAUCAUUGAACUGAGCAGUCACUAGCUGGGACUUCGAUAGAAACCCAACCAGCAAAAGAUAAGACAAGCACAAAAUUGCCAUUAUUGAGUCCUAUUUCUUUCUGGAUUAAGCGUGCUUCAAUGCAAGAACUCAAAUUUUCUUCACACACCAGCUGAGGAACAUUACUAUGUACAAAAAUCAAACUUCCCCACAAUGAUAAAAUUUCUCUUUGGAUCAAAGAAUCAGAAUUUAAAAUAAACCCACUUCAGUGAAGAAUCAGAACUUAGAGCCAAAAGCAACUGACAAUGUUUCAGUUUCACCAAAAAAAAAAAAAAGAAGAAAAACCCAGAAAUGCAAACCCCAAUUCACCGUCCAACAUUUCAAAGAAAACCCAUUUAACAGAAUCGAAAGAAAUGCAAAAUGGACAAAUCCCUCUGAUUUAGGAGCAGAGGGAAAUGCUUGAAUCAAAGAAAUGUAAUGAAAAACCAAAGACCCAAGUCGAAGGAAGACAAGAGAGCUAAAACAAGAACAAGAAAACAAAAAGAAGCAUAACAAUAGGCCUGCAUUAUAGAACAUGGGCUGUAAAUGCAUCCAUUCAAAUAAACCACAAAGACCCAGAAGAAAACAAGAAGAAAAACACUCGAGAGGGUUAUGCAAGUGAAAGAAAAUGCAGAAUAGAGAAGCAAGAAAAGAGAGGAGAAAAGAUUGAUAUCUACUGAUGUCUCUCACGUAAAGGCUUAUUGUUGAGGAGAAAAGAGCAGUGAUGGUGGCGUGAUGAGUGAAUGAAGGCUGCAAAAAAAUCUCUCCUUUACUGUGAGACUGAAACUAUUAUGAAGGUUUUGAUAGUUUCAAGGACACAGAAGCUAUUUUUGCUGAGUUUAUUUUCUGUAUGAACAUUACAAUGAAGGGGCAGCCCCACCUUUUCUUUGGACGGUGAUGAUAAUGUCUAUGCUUUGCUUCUACUGUGUUUCUUUUUAACUUAUUUACAGCCCAAUGGCUUCCCCUUUUCAUUUCCAUAAAAAAAUAUUUUUGAAAUUUUUUUUAAAACGGAAAUUGAAAACGGAGAGAAUUUGAGAUUUUUUAAUUUUAUUUUAUGAUAAAAUUAAAUUUAUGAAUGUAAUUUUUUUUUAAUAUUUAAAAUAUAUUUUUUAUAAAAUUUAUUAAUUAAUUGAUAUUUGAUAUUAUUAUAAAAUUAAAUUUUUUUAUUUUAUAAAAAAAAUCAUUGACCUCUUUAAAUAUUUAUACUUUUUAUAAUUUUUAAUUUUAUAUAUUAUUCAAUUUAUAUAAUUUUAAAUAUCUAUAUUAACACUAAUAUAUAAAUUUAUUAAAUUUUUAUUUUUAAAUUACAACUUAAUGAAAAAUAAAUUAUUUUGUUAGAAUAUAUUUUUUAUAAAAACUAUUUUUUAAAUAUAAAUAUUUUCAAAAAAUAUAAAUCCAAUCUAAAAAUAUUAUUUAAUUUUAUUAUGUACAAAAUUUGAAAAAUUAACAAUUAGACAUAAAACAUAAUCAUUCUUCUUAAGAAAAUAUUUUUUUGUUUAUUGACAAAAUUAAAAAUAAUAUGGUUUAUGUAACUGAGUCCAAUACUGUGUUUAUUGAACUUAUUAAAUACACUAAUUUAUCAAUUUAAUUUAAUUCUUUUCUAUUAAAUUUUUAUAUAAAAUGAAAAAUUAUUUUUUAAAAUUUAUAUAAUUUUUUAUUUCUAAAUAAAAAAAUUAUAUAGUUAUUUUAGUAUGUGAACAUUUAGUUUCUUUUUAAAGUAGAUAAUUUUACUAAACUGCAGGACCAAAUAUUAAAUUUUCUAAAAUUAACCAUAUUUUAAACUUCUUUUAAAGAUAAUCACAGGACGACAGCACUGUAUCAAAAGAAAACGCGACAACCCGCUUACAUUCAAACAAGUGGCGAGUUGUUAAAGGGCCAUGUCCUUAGUUUCGUCGGAUGGUUUGCAUGUCCUAUCACAGCACUGUAACUGUAUAAAAUACUUUGUUUUGUUUUUCGAAGACUACACUUUGUCCUCUAAUUGUUCUCGUGUUGUCAUUCUUCCAUUUAAAAUAUAUUAUUUCAACAUAAUUAUUUUAAGUAUAAUUAAUAAUUGGCUGCAUACCAAAUUUGACAUUGUUAAAUUGGUGUAAUAUAAGAAUAUUAAUGAGAAUUAUUUAAUUAAAUAUAUAAAUAAAAAAUUGAAAGAUUUUUCGUACAUAUUAAAAUUAUAUAUAUAUAGCUCAUUUAUUGGAACACAAAUAAUUCCAAAUUAGUUGAAAUCGAUUGUAUAAAUCUUUAUUGUCAUUAUUAUGCAUAAAUCCUAUCAAAUUGAUGAAAAAUGUAUUUGUGAAAUAUUCCUUUGCACCAAUUUUUGUGCUAUUUAAUUUGUUUUCUUGUUAUAUAUCCAGCUUUUUUUUUAAUUAAAGAAAAUUUUUUUUUGAAUCAAUAAUUAAAGAAAUUUUUAUUGUUUCAAUUUUAAAAAAAUAUAAAAAAAUUUAAUAAUUAAUUUCUUUAUUAAUUUUAACCGUUAAAUAUUGUAAAAAAAAAAUUAGAAUAAUUCUAAUAGGAAUGAACUAAUUAUUAAAUUUUUAAAAAUUUAUAAAAUCAACUAAUAAAUUUUUUAAAAUUAUAGAAAUUAAGUAGUAAAAUAUUUAAUGGCAAAAAUAAUGAAAAGACUAAGUAAUAGAUCUUUUAAAACGUUAGAGAGAUUUUAAUAUAUUUUUUAAAAAUAACUAAUUAAUGGAUGUAACGAUUCAGAAAUCGAACCGCUAUUGGCACUAAAAUUCAGAUUAACUUAAGGUCGCCGAAACCUAUAGCAAACCUACUAUACAUCUUGGGUACCUGUUAAAAUCUCAUACAUAAUCAUAAAUUAUCAUAAAAAUUUAAACAUUUCAUGAAAUCAAGCUCAACUUGUACAUGUAUCAUACUGAAAAUAUAAAACUCAUACUAGAGCCCUCAUCAAAUGCUAGAAGUUAACAUCACAUACCUCAAGUUUAAUCCAAAUAUAAUUCAUAAUUAAAAAUUUUUACAUACUGAUCAUGUUAACAGGGAUUACAAAGGUAAAGAAAAUUAGGGCCAAGCACAAUUCUAAUCCAUUAAACAAUACAUGUCCAUAACUAUUCUAUUACAUCAAACUAUACAAGCUAUUAUGCCGACUUCCCGAGCUAUCCUUGAUCCUGCAAACCUGGGGUUAGGGGAAAUGGAUAACCUAUAAGAGCCUAGUGAGCAGAACAUAAAAACAGUUUAAUAAACAUAUACUCGUAUGAAUGCGUCACAACACAAACAAUUCACAUCAAGAUGGACUUGUCACCAGUAACCCUCUACAUAAUCCAAUGUGCUCGGCCCUCGACGGUGUAAUACCCGGCUAGACCCCGACAUUGGAAUUCCUAUUUUCCGGUAGAAUCUCGGAUGUCGGAAACCCUCUAGAAGGGAAAAAUCAUGUUUUUAUAAAUGUUUUUAUGGUUUUAAGUAACAAAGAAUUGAGUUUUGAAAGAAAAAGGACAAAGGAGAAAAAUCCAGGUUCGGCCGCCAAACUUGGUGGAGUUGCGGAGGCACUUUUGGCUUCCGAAGGUGGUCUGGCCAGCCACCUAUAAAAGGCCUCCUGUCCGAAAAUGGGCGAGUUUUCUCUCUCUAUUUUCGGGCAAGGUGAGUCUCCGCCACCCCUUUGAUGAUUUUGUGUUUUCUCCUCAAAUCCUACAAGUUUUUAACAAGUUUUAGCUUGGUUUUGAAGUUUUUAAGCAAAGAUCGAAGUUUGGAAGCUUGGAGACCUAGGGAACCCGUUUUCCCCAAAUCUCCAAGCUGGGUCACGUCUUCUCUCGAUCUUCAAGAGGUAAGCGUCGAUCCUCGCCUCCUUCGAUGUCUUAAGUAAGUUUUAUGAAGGUUUAUGGGGUAGAAAUGCAUGUUUAGGUUAGUUGUAAAAAUGUUAGUUUAAGGAUAAAUGUAUGCUAAAAUGAGUUGCUAUAUUGAUGUUUGUUGGGGUUUAGGUUAGUUUUAUGCCCCUAUAUGCUUGAGAAUGGGUUUAUGCAUGUUGUAGAAUAGCCAAAUGCAUGUUUGGAAGGUUAGGGAGGCGUAAAUGUUCAUAAGGGCUGAGUUCUGCCAUUUCUGGAAGAACUCAGGUUCAGCAGCCGAAGGCACUUUCGGCCGCCGAACCUACCUGUGGUGGCACUUUUGGCCGCCUAAGCUUGCCCCCGAAAGUUUGGACUUUCGGCUUUGGAGGGCAGUUUCGGCCGCCGAAGGUGCCGCCGAACAUGCAUGAGUUUCGGAUCUGGAAGGAACCUUCGGCCGCCGAAGGUGCCGCCGAAGGUGCAUGGCUUUCGGCUUUGGAGGGACUUUCGGCCGCCGAACUUGCCGCUGAAAGUGCCAUGUUCAGCCUUCCUUUGCAUGUUUUCUAUGAAUGUUUUAUGAUGUUUUAGGGGGUUUUUGGGGAGUUGUUUAGAGUUAUGUUAGUGUAUGUUUGGUCCCUCAUUUGAGUCCACCUGUGUAGGUUCGGACCCGAGGAACCGAGGACCCCAGUAGUGAGAUAGCUGCUUUUCAGUCAGUUCAGAGUCAGCCAGAGGUGAGUAGAACUAACUAAUCUCUUAUUUCAAGAAAUUAAAUAUUUUAAGCAUGAUUCAUGCAUUAUGAUAUAUAAUAGGUUGAUUGCAUUAGAACUCACGAAUAUGACGCAUUGCAUUAUUCAUUAUGGGUGUGGAUGGACAACAGGACGACUCACUAGCCCUCUAGAUUUUCAUUGUAUGUAACAGAAGUCCUGAGGAGCCCCACCGAGGGCCGGACACAGAGCUUAUUGUAUGUAACAGAAGUCCUGAAGAGCUCCUUCGAGGGCCGGGCACAGAGUAGAGGGAAUUUUGGGUCAAUUCAUCCGUGAUGUGAAUUAAUUGUGUUGUGAUGCAUUCCAUGAAAGCAUGUUUUAUAUUAAUCUUUUAUUAUUCUGCUCACUGGGCUUUUUAGCUCACCCCCUCCCUUAACCCCAGGCUUGUAGGUUCAGGAUAGACCGGGGAGUCUUCGAGGCUAAAGGUUGUUUAUGUAAUAGUUUUAGUAUGGACAUGAUUUGUGAAAUGUUAUAAAGUGUAAUGUAAUAUAAAGAGAUGAGUAUUAGUAUUGUGCUUGGCCCUAUGGUCUGUUGUAAUCCCUUUUAUACAUGAUCUGUUUUUGUUAAUGUUUUAAUGAUGUUGGUGUUGAACCAAGCUUGUCUUAUGAGAUGUGGACCCAACUAGAGCAUUUGAUGAGGGCUCUAGUAUGGGGUUUAUAUAUGACAGGUAUAAUGUAUGCGAGACAGGCUUGGUAUAUGGAAAAGUUUAAAAUUUUUAUGUAAAUAUAUGAUCAUGUAUGAGAUUUUAUCAGGUAUACAGGUUGCAUGUUAGGCUUGCUACGGGUCCCGGCGACCUUAAGUCGAUUUGGAUCCUAGCGCUGGUAGCGGUCCGGUUUCCGGGUCGUUACAGACGGAGCUUCUCAAGAUUUUCGCUUAAACAUAACAUAACAUAUCCAUAAUGCUAGGGGCGUAGAAUGGACCUCACCUGGACUUUCCCUUACAUAUUGUCAGGGGCGUAGAAUGGGCCUCACCUGGACUUCCGUAUCGUAUCGUAUCGUAUCAUAUCAUCUCGAGGGCUAGUGGGUCAUCCAAUAUCCAUCCACAUUAACAAUAAAUUAUGCAGUGCAUCAUAUUCGUGAAUUCUAAUGCAAACAUCCUAAUGCAUAAACAUGGCAUUCGUGAUACAUAAACAUGCUUAAAAGUUUUAUUACUUUAAAACCAUAGAUUAGUUUAGUUUUACUCACCUCUGGCUGACGUUUGCCUAACAAUGAUGCAGCUAACUCACUGAAGGCCUCUAUGGUCUCCAAGGUCCAAUCCUACAUAGAUGGACUCAAAUGAGGGACCAAACAUAACUAUUACAAAACUUUAAACAACUCCCUAAAAACCCCCCUUAAACAUACCAAAACAUGCACAUAAAACAAGCAAAGAAAGGCUAGGCAGGGGACUUUCGGCGGCAGGUUCGGCAACCGAAGGUCCCACACAGAUCCAAAAGUCAGGGACUUUCGGAGGCAGGUUCGGUGGCCUAAGCCCUUCACAGAUCCGAAAGUCAGGGACUUUCAGAGGCGGGUUCGAUGGCCGAAACCCAUCACAGAUUCGAAAGUCAUACUUUCGGGGGCAGAUUAGGCGGCCAAAAGGCUGCCUCCACAAGCAGGUUAGGAGGCUAAACCUUCCUUCGGCAGCCGAACCUGGGUUCUCCAGCAAGGUAGAACCCGAUUCUGCCCUAUGCAUACAGCCACCCAACUCUCCAAUCCUCACACCAAACUCCUCAAAAAUAUACAUACACACUCAUCAAGCAUAAAGGGCAUAAAAACUAGGCUAAACCCCAACAAACAAUAAUAAAAACAACACAAUAGCAAUCAUUCAUUAAAAACUCAACUCAAACCCUAAAACUUUAGAUCUAACCAUGUCAUGCAAUAUUUAACCCUUUACCCUUUUUUAAAACUUGAUUAAAACAUAAGAAAAGCAAAAAUCUAGACUUACCUCUUGGAGAUUUAAAGGUGACAGCAAUCCCAACGUGGAGAUGAGGUAAAACGGUCUCCGGAGGUCUCAAAGGUUUCAAAACUUGGAUUAAAGCUCAAAUCUUCAAAAACAAGGCAAAACUCAUGAAUUUUCUGAAAGAUUUAAAGAAAAAACAACAAAAAUCACAAAGAGAGGGCAUAAACUUACCUCUGCCCGAAAAUGGAGAGAAAAUUCUCUCAUCUUUGGGCUGAAGGCCUCUUAUAGGUGGCUGGACGAAACCACCUUCGGGGGUCGAAAGGGGAGGUCCUACGGCGGCACCACCUUCGGCGGCUGAACCUGAUUUUUUCCGGCUGAACCUGAUUUUUCCCUUCCAAAACUAUUUUCUUCAAAACUUUUUCUUUCUUUAUUUUCUUCAAAACUUUUUCUUUCUUUCUUAAAACCUCAAAAUUUUCAAAAUUCACUUAAUAAAAACCUUAUUUUACCCUUCUUAAGGAGAUUCCAGUUUCGAGAUUCCGGGUUCCAACGGAGAUUCCGUCGGAAGGUUGGAAUUUCGACGCCAGAAUCUAGCCGGGUAUUACAAUGGAUUUCUCUCUAACAUAUGAAUUAAAUAAUAAUUUUUAUUUUUUUUAUUAUUUUAUAUAAAGAUAAAAUAGAAAUCGUGGUUUUAUUUUUUUAACUAUUCAAGUAGAAUUGCAUUUUCAAGAUUUAGAGGAUAAGGAUUAUUAAUCAACACUAAAGAUCUAAAUAAAAUAAAAAAAUCUCACUAAAUUAGACCCAAUGGAAUACAUCAAACUAAUCGACAAUCAAAUAGACGAAAAGAAGCAACUAAACAUAUGUAUCCAAGCAGUGGCCGAUGAGACUAGUAAAUACAGAGCCAAAAGCAAAAGAUGGCAAAUGAAAACAAGCCAAUUAAAUACUGAAAACAGGAAUACUAGAAUGCCAUGAAUGAAUACAUAGAUAGAGAAAAUUAGGCUAAAAGUAAAAAGCAACCAUUGACAACAGCGAAUUGAAGAAGGAGACAUCACAGAGUUCAUUAAAAAAAGACCAAUAAGAGCGAUAUCCACCGAACAUAUCAGUGCGGUCCCAAAUUAUCGAUACUAUGCAUGUGAAGUUCCUUUACACCAGAAGCCGAAGUAGAAGCUCUCAACCAAAUCCAGCAACAUCUCCCUUACAAAAUCCAACACCAUAGACUUGAAGAUACAGACCAACAAUAAAUUACAAUAAAAAAAAAAAAAUACCAACACAAUCGUCCACGAGGGGAGAGAAGAGAUGGGAGGUGACAUUAAAAAAUAAAAUAAAAUUUCUUUCACUCAAACAAAAAAUCACCAAAGAAACAGACCAUUCAACGAAACAAAUAAAAAAUAAAAGCAAAAACCUGAUGCAAUAACCACAACAUCUAAUCGCGAGUCAAAUUUCUCCUUUUCCUUUUUUUUUUUCUCCCUUCUGUCUUUCUUCCAUCUUUUUAACUAGGAUUUUUUUUUUUAAUUUCUAUUCAAAUUUUUUAAAUAAAAAUCAUUGUUCAUUAAACCAUUUCAUCGCUAAUAUUAUUAAAACUAAAUUAAUUUUCCAAAGAAAUAAAAGUGUCAUUCAAUAAAAAAAAUAGUCAUAUAGCAUUUUUUAAUUAAUAUUCUUAAUAUUAAAAAGUUUUGAUUUUUUAUUAAGAGAAAUCUCUUUAAAUAUUAUAUAAGACUCUUCGUUAUAGUUUCUAAAUUGUUAAAAAAUCUCAAUUUUUUUUAUCAUAAUUGUAAAAAAUGUAAAAUUAAUAUUCACUUUUUGAAAGAAAACAAACAAAUUAAAAAAAAUACAUUCAUAAAAACAACCCAAUAAAACUGAAGAAAUAAAAAGAAUAAAAAACUAUAGUAACUGAAUUAUUGAGUUUUAAAUUAUAGGAACAUAUGUGAUAAAUUUUAUAUUAUUAAAGGAUAAAAGAAUAAUUUAUCAGUAAACUUAAUAUAGGUUCAAAAAAUUAAUUUAAAAUGUUGAAUGAACAAUAAUCCCAUAUAAUAUCAUCAAAUAUUAAAAUUAUGGCCAAAUUAUUAAAUGCUAUUAAUGUAUUAUUGACUAUGCUGUGAUGGUCUACUAAAUUAAUAAUGUUAUUAGUAUAUAAUUAAAAAAUUUUAAUUUGAUUUUGUUAAAAAUAAAUUAAAUUUACAUUAAAAGUGAUUUUUAAUGAUGGUGUAAAUUUAAUAUAUAGUUUUAAUUUUUUUUAAAUUGUUUGUUGUUAAAUUUCACAAAGGUAAUAUGCCCUUUAUUUCCCUUCUUGAACUUUUUAGUAAAUUAAAUUUGAUUCAAAUUUAACAUAAUAUCAGAAUCUUUCCAGACUGAUCUUGAAUCUAUAGUUAUAUUAUUGUAAAAUUUAAGUGUGAGAGUGUGUUAAAUUUUAUAUUGAUUUUUUAAAUAUUUUACUAUUGACGAAUACGUUAAUUUUUUAAAAUUAUAAAAAUAAUAAAUAAAUAAAUGACAAUUGGAGCAUAGUUGUUGACUUUAAAAUUAAAUGUAUUAUCAAAUAGUUAGGGGUGAGCAUUCGGUCGGUUCGGUUCAAAAUCGAACCGAACCGAAUAAAUUGAAAACCGAAAUUUUAGUGUUUAUAAAAAUCGAACCGAAUCGAUUUUGGUCAGAAAUCGAACCGGUCUGAUUCGGUUCGAUUCGGUUCGAUUUGAUCGGUUUCGAAUUUUAAUAAUUUUUUUAUUUUUUACACUUUAUUUUUAGUAUUUUAAAAUUUAAUUAAAAUAUUUUAAUUUUAAUAUGAUUUAAUUUCUUUAUAUUAUUAAAAAAACAUAUUAUUAUUACUAAUCGGUUCGGUUCGAUUUUUUCAAUUUUUUUCUGAUCAAAACCGAACCGAACCGAAAUUACCGAAAUUUUUGAAAUUAAAAACCGAACCGAACUGAAAUAUAUAAAAAAUCGAACCAAAAUUUUAAAUCGAUUCGGUUCGGUCGAUUUUUUCGAUUUGAACUGAAUACUACUCACCUCUGCAAACAGUGAUGCACUCAAAAGAUAAAAAAAAACAUUCAUAAUUUGUAAAUUGGAUUUUUAAUUAUCAUCCUCUUAACAACCCUAAUUAAUUAAAAAUUCUCUUCUCAUAUCAACUCAUCUCAUCCACCCCUUUAUUUUUUUUUAUUUUUCAAAAUAUCAAAUCAAUUCUGAGACCUCUAACCAAACACAUCAAUAAUUGAUAAAAACUUUGGUUUUCAAAUGUGACUUUUUUUUGGUAGCUAGUGAAUUAUUGAACAACUCAUGUCUUCUCCAGUCUCUUUGAAGUACUACUGCCAUCUCAUUCCCAUGCAUACUAAAAAAAAUAAAUUAAAAUUAAUUUUUAAAAAAUAAAAAAAACCCAAAAAUAAAUAAUUUCAUAUUGGUGUGUGGGACCCUAAUUAAGAGGGUUAGGGUUUUUGCAUCUCCUAUAGAACCAUAGAUAUAUUGAUUUAAAAAAUCUUACUUCUAAAUAGACUUUUGGCUAAAAGAUUAUGCUACUUUACCCUAAAUUUUUAAAUAAUUAAAAUUAAAUUUUACAAUUUGGAUUAAAUAUGUCAAAGAAACCAGAGAUUGAGGCAGAAAUUUUGCAGAAAUUAUUUAUUUAUUUUAUUUUUAUUUAUUUAAAAGUACCAAUGAAUAAAACUAUGUGUUAUGUAUUGCUUUUUACCUUAAUUAAGGGAUCUAAUCAUUUUCUAUCACACUAGCCAUUUCCAAUUCACUUCAUUCUUAAUCUUUUCCUUGUGUCCUUGGGCAGCUACUUGGUGGGUCUCCAAAACUUUUCCCACUCUGAAAUUAUUUAAAUUCCCAAUAUAUAUUUUUAUUUAAAUUUCUUAAGUUAAAUUUAAUUAAUUUUCCUUCAUAUACUUCCUAUCAAUCAAUUUUUAAAAAAUAUAUUUUAGUAAAUUAUUUAUUUUAUAUUUAAUAUAAUAUAAUUUUAAUAGUAAUUUUUAUCCGCCACAAAAAAAAUAAAUUGUGUUGCUCUACAUUAUGGCUGCCGAGGCAGAUAUAGUGAUCAUCGAUGACAUUAAUUUACAACUCCAGUUUAAAUAUAUAUAACGAUAAUUUACAGUCAUUAUUUUAAAUUCAUUAUUUAAAAUUUUUUUAAUAAUAAUAAUAUAUAAACAAAAAAACUUUUGCGGAUAUUUUUUUUUUAGAGUUCAAUAUUAAAAGUUGAUGAUCUGAAAUUCAAAGAAAAUAGAGUUUUCAAUGGUUGGGUAAGUUUAGGUGAGUAGAAAGUGUUCUCUCCCCUUUAUCCCUUUCUUUUUGUCUGCUAACGAUGCUUAACGGCCUCUCAGCUACAGUGUCACCUAUCUCUGUCAUACAGGUCCGUACGGACGAAAGUGUCAGACGCGAUGGUCAUUUAAUUUUCUCGGCGCGCGUGUAGGCAGGGCUACGAGGUGACUGAGCCUGCCGUCCUUUCUCCUGUUACGUUUCAGGGCUGAGCUUGGUGUGAAAGGACUGAGGUCCACGGGAGGCCCGACCUCAAGAUUGGAUGGUCCAAACCGGCUUGUUGAAGAGACCCCAUGACCUUUGAAUCAGGAUCGCUUUCAUGGGUUAGACCUUAUAUCAGGUGAAACCCUACAGUUAUUAGAAGUUAUAAUCAAAGUUUAUAAAUUAUUUUAUGUGAAGUUGAGAAGUCUUAUUGAUAUAUGAUUUGGUAAACCAUCUUCUUAUCUAAAGAGAUAGAAAAAUAAGAGAGGUUUCCAUGAUAGAAUGAUUAGUGGCAUCUCAAAAUUGACUGCACACAACCAAAAGCAAAAAGCUAAAGCAAACCUAACAAGGCCUAUAUUUAAAAUAGGAAAAAUAAUUACUUAGUUUUCCAAUUUUGCUCAAAAUUUUAAUUUAUUAAUUUAAAAAAUAUAUUAAUACGUGAUUAAAAUAUUAAAAAACUACUAAUUAAUUAUUUAUUAACUUUAAAUAUUAAGUAUUUUAUUAUUUAGUAUCUAUAUUAUAAAUAAAACUUAUUAAUUAAUUUUUUAAUUUUAUAAAAUUUAAACUGUCCCUCCAAUUGAUAAUAUUUUAGACUUUUAUUAAUAUUUAAUGAAUAAAAUUAAUAAAGAGAUUAAUUAAUAAAUUUUUUAAUACUUUAAAAAUAUUUUAAUAUAAUUUUAAAAAUUAAAAAUUAAUCAGCGAAUUUUCUUAUACUACACUACGUAGACUAAAUAAUAAUUCUGCAGUAAAAUAUUAAUGUAUAAUAUUUUUUUCAGUUAUUUUUUUAAAAUUUAUUUUUAAAAUGAAAAAAAAAAAACUUUGGAUACUUUUGCAUUUUGUAGUGCUAUGAUGGUUUUUGACCCGAGGAAAAGAAAAAUAAAAUUUACCUUUUCUUUAAACAAUACACAUCAAUACACUACUACAUUUUAUGGGAUUAGACAAUAACAUCUUCACAAUAAUUAUAAAAUUAUUAUUUUAAUACUAUUAUAAAAAAUUUUAUUUUUUAUUAUAUAUAAUAAUAUAUUUUAAUAAAAAAUAAAAUUAUAAUUUUAAAUAAUUUUUUAUCUGCUAUAAAAAAUAAUUAAAUUACUAUUUUAUAUUUAUUAUAAAAGUAGAUAUAGCAAUUUUUAAAUUGUUUAAAAUGAUAGUCUCAUAUAUCAGAAAAAAUUGUAAUAAUUGUUUGAAAAUUUGUCUAAGAAACCGAAAAAUAAAAUUUCAGAAAAUACUUUUUCUCAAUGGUAAGGCAUCCAUGAUGAACACAACCUUUGAUUUUCUUAGAAGAAGUGUAAUUGAGGAAUCAAAAUUCUUCAUGAACUUGUGAUCACAACAACAAAAUCUUAUAUUUGUACUAAAGACCAACAAAACAUAGAUCCAAUCUUCUGUUUCUCUCAUGAGCUUUCAUCUUUUUCACUUUGUGAAGACAUGACUCCACUCUUCAUCUUCUACCAAUGGCAUGUGCAUGGGUGAUGGUGUGGUGGAGCCACCCACUUUUGGUUAUUGUCAUCCUCAAAACCAUUUUUGAAAAAAAAAAAAUUAAAGAAAAAGAAAAAAAGCAAAUGGGUUUUCACAAUAGAAUCUUUAUUGAUUGAGAUUGGGCUCUCCCUUUACUAGACAUGAAUCAUUACCCUUGUAUCAUGGUUUGUCUCUCCUCCUUUGGGCAUCAUGGGUCCCUCUCUUUCACAUUUCCUUUCUUAUCAAACUUUUCCAAUUAAUUCUCUUUUUCUUUUUUAAUUACUUUUAAUUUAUGUAAUUAAUUCCUCUUUUUUUACUUUAAUACAGGAAAAGAGUAUUGAUAUUGACCUAGCAAAGAGCUCUGCAAAAGGUGAGCAGACUUAUUUUAAUCCAAAUUAAAAUAUAAUAAAAUUAUUUUUUCUAAUGACUGACUUAGAAUAAAGUUUAACUUGAAAGACUAUGGUAGAAUUUAUUUUCAUGACUCAACUUAUAUAUACAAAUUAUUUGUGUGGCCCAUGGGCUAGCCUUGACCAAGAUGUGAAGUUUUGUGGGUCAGCCCAGUUAAGCAAGGCUCAUGGGUUUUGCUUAAAGAUGAUUUAAAACACUAAUCACUAUUUUCAAAAUUGUUGUUGCCAGAAUUAAACUGAAAUUGCAUUGUAACAUGCUAACUUGUUAGCAACAAAAAUUACACAUUCUAUUCGGUUCAAAUCGAUAAAAUUAAUUAAAUUAAAUUAAUUUAAAAUUUUAGUUUAAUUUUUUAUUUUUUGAUUCCAUUUAAUUUUUAAUUUUAAAAAUUUUAAUUAUUCAGUUCGAUUUUAUCUAAAAAAUAAAAAAAAAUAAAUCAAACUUUUUUUUUUUGAAAUAGGGGGUUGGAGGAGUCCUUUCAAGACUACAGGAGACUACAGGAUGCACUUUCCAACAGGCUAAGCCUUGGAGUGCAAAUUAAAUCAAACUUAUUAGUAUAAUAAUAUAUUAUUUUUAAUAAUAUAAAGAGAUUAUAUCAUAUGAAGGUUAAAAUAUUUUAAUUAAAAUUUAAAAUAGUGUAUAACAAAUAAAAAAUUUAUUAAAAAUUUAAAUCAAUGAAACCGAAUCGAACUGAAUCAAAUCGAUUCGGUUUGAUUCAGUUUUUGAUCAAAAUCAAUUAGUUUGAUUUUUAUAAAUACUAAAAUUUUAAUUUUGGUUUAUUCAAUUCGGUUUAAAUCAAAUCAAACUGACCGAAUGUUCACCUACCUGCUUUAUAAGACUGAUUCGAUUUCUGAUUAAAAUCAAUUCAGUUUGAUUUUUAUAAAUAUUAAAAUUUCGAUUUUCGAUUUAUUCAGUUCGCUUCGAACUGAACCGACCGAAUACUCACCCAUUUCCUAUAUAAGGCUAAUUCAAUUUAUAAUCAAAAUCAAUUCGGUUUGAUUUUCAUAAAUAUUAAAAUUUUAAUAUUCAGUUUAUUCAGUUCAGGUCCAACCGAAUUGAAUGCGCACAUAUCUGCUCUAUAAUUGAAUUAUAUCCCACUUACUGGUGCUGUAACCUAGUCCAUUUUGAAUUGAUCAAACAUAGAAAAUACGAAAAACUUGUUACACAAAUACUAGGAAUAAAUAUUAGACAUCUUAGAAAACUCAAAAUUGCAAAUGCUCUCUAUGAGGUAGGUUAUUUGUGAAAUAAGCAAUUGAAGUGGACAAUUCCAGGUAGACAGAGAGCUGUCUUCUCAGACCUGUCUGACAGGACCCAAUCCAAAAUAAUGAUUAAUGUCAUGUAAAAAUGAAAAAAAAAAAAAUCGUGAUUUUAGGCCAUCUAGAAUUCAAGUUUCGUCUUCACUGUCUGAAAAUAGGCAAUCUUGUAGUUGUUGCCUGCAAGCAGAAAACUAUGUUCUAUAUUUGUAAAGUGAAGAUGAAAUUCUGAAGAGGCACAAAAAAAUUAACUAAAACUCUAUUUGUUUUAUAAAAAUAUGUUUUAUAUUUUCUGAUAUUUGAAACACUUAUAAAAAUAUUAUCACAAUAAAAAAAAAUCAUCUUUUUAAAAAAUAAUUUAAUAAUUUGAGAAUCUUAUUAAAAUUACUAAAUUUUCCAUGCAUAAAUUUAUUAAAUCUUUUUUUUUUUUUAACAUUGCAACUAAACAAUCAAAAAUAUUUUUCAAUAAAAAUUAUUUUCCAUAAAAGCAAACCAAGCCUAAAAUUAAGAUUGUUUUUUUUUACUAGCAUAUGGACCUCCAAAUUCCAAGGUUGCAACGGGCCAAAGCUAUCUCUCAAUCUUAGACUAUUAUGUUCAAUAUAGAGGGCGGAAUAUUUGGUUUAACUUCAGUUAUAUGUUUAGUUAAAAUUUAAUUGAUUUAAAAAGACUAGAUCUUUGUAUUUACAUUUUAAUCUAAAUUUUUUAAUUUUAAUUUAAUUGGUUUAAUUUUUAUAUUUUAAUAUAAUUUUAAUUUAUCUGUAAAUUUUUAAAUUUAAUUAUCUAUGACAAUUUGAUAAUCUAACUAAUAUAACCCGUAUAUUAUUAUUAUUAUUAUUAUUAUUAUUAUUAUUAUUAGUCAAUUAACGGAACAAAUUUCAUCGUUUAUGUUAUUUUAUAUUUUAAUUUAAAUAUUUAAAUUUUAAAUAAAUUGUCUCAACAUUUAUAUUUGAGUGUAAUCUUAAUCAAUUUUCAAAAUUAAAAUUAAAGAUAAACAAUCUAAUUAUUAAAUAUGUAGUUCACAUAUUUAAUAACGAUAAAUUUUAUUUUAUAGUAAUAAUUAUAAAUAUUUUAUAAUAGAUAUAUUAUUUAAUUUAAAAUAACAGUAUAUAAUUAAAAAUAAUAUAUCUAUUAUAAAAUCUUUAUAAUUAUUAAUACAAAAUAAAAUCUAUUUAAUAUUAAAGUUCUUUAUCGCAUAUUCAACGGGUUACUAUUAUCUUUAAGAUUAAAUAUAUCAUUUAAAUAUAAUUAAAUAUAAAUUAAUAUUAAUUUUAUAUAUGAAAUUAAUUUAUAUUUAAAAAAUAAUAAAUAUUACAUUUAAUAUUUUAACUGAAUUUUUAUAUUUUAAUUUUUAAAAUGAACUAAAAUUAUAUUCAAAUGCAAAUAUUGAAUCCAUUAAUUCAAAAUUUAAUUAACAACAACAACAACAAUAAUAAUAAUAAUAAUAAUAAUAAUAAUAAUAAUAAUAAUAAUAAUAAUAAUAAUAAUAAUAAUAAUAUCCACUAAACUAUAAAAUUGUCACAUACGCUAUUAAAUUUAAAAAUUUUCAAAUAAACUAAAUUGCAUCAAAAUAUGUAAAGGUUGGACUAAUUAUACAAAAAUUAAAAAUUUUAAAUUAAAAUACAAAUAUGCACAAAUGUUGAAUUUUUUUGAAUCAAUCAACCUAUUAUUAAAAUUAUUAAUAUAUAUAUAUAAUAGAACUAUUGGAUAAAGGCAAAACUUUUCGAUUUUUAAUUUUCAAUUUUUCACAAUUAGACCAAAAGAAUAAAAUCAAAUUUAGAAAAAUUAAUAAUAAAUUACAAUAUAACCUCUAAUAUUUGAUUAUUAAAUAAUCUUUAAAUACAUAUUUUUAUAACAAUAAUGUCAUUCUUUUUAAUUUCAUUAUUUACUCUCUAUUUUUAUUAAAAAACUUAAAAUAUAUAUCAAAAAGCUUUACAAUUUAAAAUAUAUAAUAUUUUAUUUGAUUUAGAAUAAUAUUAAUAGAAAAUAAAGUUUUCAAAAUGUAAAAAUAUGAACACAUGUUAUAAUAUUAAGGAUAAGCAUUCAAUAAAAUAUUUUAAUAUAUUAUUUAUAUGUGAUAUUUUAUAUAAUAUAAAUUUAUUUAUAAUAAAUAUUUAAUAUAUAUUUGAUAUUACAUAUAAUAAAUAUUAAAUAUAUUUAAUUUCAAUAUAAAAUUUAAAUUAAAGAAUCCAAACUAAAGCAAAAACCUAGAGCUAAUGGUUGAGAAUCCAAAUUAAACUUUUCAUCUGCCAUUCUUCACCCGGGAUACCAAAUGUUGGAGUAAAGACAAACAGAAAUGUUCCAUUGUUGAGGGCUCCUUUGAGGAGUAUUUGAAAACAACAACUUGAACAAGCAGCAGCAGCAGCAGCAAAUCGUGAACUUUGGCAACUUUCAUGACUUUCCAAACUCAACAAAUCAGAAUCCUUGCGAGGGUUAUUGCAAAUAGGACAGAAUGACAAUGGGCUUGAUAUUGUAUCUUUUCCGACACCCUUGAUUUCAGGAAUCCUAUUGAAAUGGAGUAAGCUUUUCAGCUGUUCAUACCACAAAAGAGACUUUUCCAGAAGGAGCAUUUAAUUUCAAAUCAUUUAACCCACCAUAAACUUGUUAGAAGAAUAAUCUUUUCAAGCAGCCUCAACAACAAAACCUUUUAUUUUUAUAUUUAUCAAAGGAGGUCUGAACUGCAUAGUAUCUGUUUCACCCUUCAAGUAAAGCUUAUUGUCUUAUUGAGCUCCACCAGUCUCUCCAAUGGCCCUAAGACAGUAUGUAAGAAAUAUUCAGAUUAUGAGAAGAAUAUAAAUUUUUACCUGUAAACGGGUCACAAAUGAAGACACCAAACUGUUGAUUCCAGUGGGAGCACUAUUAAGUAAAGGCAAAGUCUUCAGACUGCCCUGCCAAGAUGAGAACAUAACCUUCACUUAGCAGCAGACUUUCUUUAUUUGAAUAUGUUACAUUUAUACCCAAAACAAUACCAAAAGAGAAUUUCAUAUGAAGAUAACCGAAAAAGAAAUUAACACAAACCCAUCAAUGCCGCACAGCAAGUUCAGUUCUAGUGCAGUACAGUCACGCAGUGGAAGCACCACUGGGACCUCCCAUCUGGCAUCAAUAUACUGUAUAUCAGCUGAUAAAUAAUAUCCUUGACCCUGUUAGAAGAGAGGGGAAAAGGGGAAAAAGAAAAAAAAAGAACACAAACCCAUAAAUAAUAUUCAGAUUAUGAGCAGAAGUAAUUAUAUAUAUAUAUAUUGUGGGGUGAACAUAUAUAUAUAUGCAGUUUCACCUUUGUGUUUACAAAUAGCAGUACGUCAAAAUUCUUUUUGAAAAAAUUGACCCCUCUCCAAUAAGUAGCUCAGCCCAUGUGUGGAAUAUUUAUGUUGAAUUAAAUUUCUUUCCACUUGAUCUUUUUUCCUUCAAAUUUGCAUAGUUUGAAGACAAUAUAAUUCUGGCCUAUGUUUAAAAAUGAUUGCAGUGAGAACAGGACUCCAGAGAAAUGAUCUUCUUCAACUGUAAUCAAAGUUUUUACUUGGUUAUCAUGAAACCAGGUUGCAAUUGUUAUGCCCCUCUUGCUUGUAUUAACAAAGUCCAAACCCUUCCGUAGGGCUCCUGCAACAUUUGUUGUCAGGGUGAUGAAAUCACACAAAGGCAGCUUGGGAAGGGGGCUUAUUUGAAAUUGUUUCUGGGACACCUCUGUCUCACCCCCCCAAGUUAAACAUGUGAAAAUCAUAAAAUCAUUCACAAGCCAAUAUAAUAAUGUUCCUGAUAAUACAUAAGCUUACAUCCCAAGACACAUAUGGCAUGAUAUCAUAAAUCAAGGGAUUCUCAAGCUAAAAUCGGAAUAUAUAAACAUAAAUUAUUAUACCUGUUUAGGAAUGCAAAUCCUACACUAAAUAGAAAUAUGUAUAACAGCAACAAAUGAUACAUACAUCAGAAAAGGAGUCUUCAACUUGAGGCCUUUGAAAAACAAACCUUUAUUGUUGCUGCAAGGACAUGGCCAGCAAGCCUCGAUGUGCACAACCCUAAAAUAAGCCUGGUAUACCCAUUUUCAGAAGCAACCUACAAAAUGAACCCAAAAAAAGAAAAAAAAAUCUGCAUGAGUGAAUUCAUGUUCUCAUCAUUCUAUGGCUGCAAUUGAAAUAUAAACCUCUUGACCAAACCUUUUGCAAGGCCACCAUCCGCAGAUGCAGCAGAAUGUCUUCUUUCCCUGCUGCCUCAUUCACAGCACUUGGUAAAUUUGUUAAUCUGUCCUUUAAAUCAAUUGAAGAAUAUAUAUUUUCAAUUCAAACAACAGGUAACUGCUUCACAGGUGAGGCUAGCUUUGAGACUACCAAUUUCAUCUCUCUAAUUGCAUCAUCCACUUGCUCAGAAGCAACUGGAUAGACAGCACAUUCAUCAAUGAAUGCCACUCCAACACCAAACACGGUAAUGAUCCGUCCUUACUUGCAUCAAAAUUCUUCUGUGCUCUAUGCUGCAUCUCAUGUACAAACUGUAGGGCUACCGUGAAACACAACUACAACUGCUCAGAAACUGAAGUUGAAGACCACAAACAAGGCACCAUAAAGGGAACAUCUCAUGAUAAAUUUCCAAGCAAAAAUAUCAUUUAAUACCUUUUCACAUGCAGGUAUAAAUCUCUGGAUCAAAAAAAAAAAAAAAAAUAUAUAUAUAUAUAUAAUGAUAGAGAAGCAAACUAUAGGUAUAACCUUCAAUCAAAUUGCUACUGUGGGGAAAAGUAUAAUAAGCAUCAAAAUAACAGAGAACUGUUCUUGAGAAUGUUAUACUAAAGUUGCUUCAAAUUAUAACCAAAAAAAAAAGGGGAAAUUCCUGAACAAUUCCUACUAAAUUUUAGACUCUAGUUACUCUCCUAGGAAACCGUUACAAUCCAAAUGCUCGAUUUGUGAUAAGUGUGGGACCAAUUUGACCUUAAAUGAAUAGUUUUGGAUUAUUAGGAUAAAACGGUGAAUUUGGAUUCAUUUGAACCUCAACAAAUGUUCAGGGUUUAUUUGGACAUUUUCUCCCGUAAAACGAACUCCCACUCUUUAGUUAACCCUUCCAUACAAUUGCCCCCGCACUCGGCAGCACCGUAGUCCUUCGCCUCGAUUCAUCUAUUUUUCACGAAAACUAUACCUCAAUCACCCUCUCAAACUCAGAAUCAUCAAAACCCAGGUUUGGUUUCAUAUUCGCUGUGCUUUUAUCUAUUUUUGGCACUUUUUUUAUAAAAAAAUUGUUUAAUAAAUUCAUGAUUUUGUGUUACCCAUAAGAUAUCUAUGCAAAAUAUUUCUGGGGUUUAAAUUUUUUUUAUCGUUAAUGCAGAAAUCUUGUUUUUUUAAAGGACUGUCAAUAGUGUUCUUCAUUUCUUUGCAUUUUCUUUCAUUUCUUUUGGAUUGAAAAAGGAUUGUCAAUAGUGUUCCUUCCAUUUUUUGCAUUUUGUUUCAUUUCUUUUGGAUUGAAUUUGUGAUUUAUUUGCCAUGAAUAAUGAGGCUGGCGGGUCGUUUGUUGCUUUGCAUUCUUGUUAGAUUCGUUAAUUUGCAUUUCCAUCGAGCAAAGCUGCUUAUUGAAGAGCUAGAGGAGAAUGGGGUUGCCAAAUGUCUCUGGGGACUUAUCAGCAGAGAUGGAGGUUGAUGCUUUCAGACGCCUUUUCCCUCUUCGCUUUUAUGAGCGUCAUCUUGCAGAUUCUAUUCGUCCUGAUGCCAGACCACUUGGAAGAGCUAGAGAUACAACAAUGGCCCUUGGUUAGUUUGAUUAAGCCUUUUUCUUUUUGUUGAUUUUGCCCAUUUUCACUUUACAAUGUAGAUGAAUAUUAUUUAUAUAGCUAAUUGUAAUUGAACCUAAUUUAUUUAUAGGGGCUGUGGCAUCUGCUGAUGGGUCAGCACUAACGAAGAUUGGUUCAACUGUUAAGUGCAUCCCCCCCCUCUCUCUCUCUAAAGUGCGCGUGCGUACACUUUGAUUGUUGAAUUUAUUAUGCUUUUUUUCCUGCACAGACCAUGUUGGCUGCAAUAAAGAUGGAAGUCAUGACCCCUUCCACCGAUUCACCAGAUGAAGGCUGCAUAGGUUAAAGAUUCUGUGAACUUUUUGUUUGUUUUCUUCCUUUUUUUUAGUUUUUGUGUCUUUUCUUCUUCUUGUAUUAUUGAUGUCAAUACAUAUAAAUCUUCUCUUCAGCUAUUGAUUUCCACAUGCCUCCAAUUUGUUCUCCAAUUGUUAGGCCUGGUAGGCCCGCCGAGGCAGCACCAGUUGUGUCCAAGCAGUUAUCUGAUACAAUACUGAGGCAAGUGAAUGUAAAUGUUCAGUAUUUUUUUUGUCAUUUUUUUUUUCUAAAUCCUGUUUAAUUCCGUUGUCUUUAAUACUUGAAGAAUGUCUUCUGAAAAUAUUUCAUUAGGCUAUGUUGAUUGUUAAUUGUAUAUCCAUUGGGCUUUCUUGUUGUAUUUUAUUAUUGUAGUAUGCAUAAAUUUUUAGUUUUAUAGGGGUGGGGUCAUUAUCAUUUCUAGUUGGUGAAGUAAUAGGAAUUGCAAUAAAAGGUCAUUGCCUUGAUAACUGUUAGAACUCUAAAUUUUCCUACUUGUGAAUAGUGUUGCAUGAAAUGCUGGCUCUUAUUAUUUGAACCUGUAACUUCUUGCUAGCAAAAUAGGAGUCUGAUAUGCUCUAGACUAGACUGCCUGCUGAAAAAUAAAAGACAAAAUAAUGCUUCCAGUUUCACUAGUUUUCUUUCUCUGGUAAGAAGGUAGGCAUGUGCAAAAUUCCUUACUAAUGAUGCAUGGUAUUGUAAUUCAUGCAUAUGAAUAGAUAUUUUCUAUCAAUUGAGGUAAUGAUAUCUUCAUGUAAACACUUGGAGGAGUGAUUUUUUUAUGUGUCAUUAUGUGGUGGUAUGUGCAUGUAAAAGUAGUGUAGUCAUCUUUAGUAAGUUCAUUGGUCAUUGGUGACAAAGGCAUACAACUUUUUUAUUUUUUCCCUUUUAAUGAAGAUGUCCUAAGACCUGCGAUACAUCCAUAUGUCUACUAAUUUAUAGGCUUGAUCAUGUCUUUCUACUAAUUAUAGGGUUGAUCAUGUCUUUGAAAAAUUCCAUUUGGGGAAUACACAUAUACUCCGACCCUUCAUUUUUCCAUGCCAUACCUGUGUCGACACGAAACUUCAUGGAAUAUGUGUCUGAUACAUAUUUGUACAUUCAGACUCUUAAGUGAUAUAUUCAUACAUAGUUAAUGCAGCAUUUUUUUUCUCUCAAGAUGAAGGGUAUGUAUUUUAGAUAAAACUAGUUAUUUGGUUGUAUUUUGAAUGAUGUAUUUGGUUGUUUUGAUCAUUUAUUUAGACUAUAAUUAUUAUUACAAGUUUAUUCUAGUUUAUUUUAUAUAAUUUAACAUAUUUAAACACUUGUGGCUAAACUUAGAUCCAUAUCCCAUAUUUUCUAUUUAGAAGGUUGACAAGCCAGGUAUAGGUAUAUGCUCCAAUUUCUGACACCUGUAUCCAAGUCCAAGUAACAUAGGGGGAAUAUUGACUAAAGCUUGGCUACACUUGAAGUAAAAUUUGGAUGUUAAGAUAAUGUCUUGAUAUUUCAGGUUGCUCAAGCGAUUCUUAGGAAUCAAUCUCAUUUUUAUUGGAUUCUUCCUUCCCUUGAUCAAUUUCAUUUCCUCGUUCAACAAGUUUUCUAACAAUUGUUUUUGUGGAUUGUUGCAGUUCUGGCAUGAUAGAUUUAAAGGAACUAUCUUUGGUCAGUGGAAAAGCGGCAUGGAUGGCAUACCUUGUAAGGAAUAUUAAUUUUUAGUCUUCUUCCUUCGUCCUUGUCUUUAAAUGAAUUUCACAUUCUUCUUGCUUUUUUUUUUUUGUUGUUGUUGUUUGUGCAUGCUUAGAGAAUUGAGAUUUUUUUGACACAUGAAAUCUAUAUUUUACCAUAUGACUAGUUAACUCAUUACUUCUUUUGCAACCAGUAUAUAGACAUAUUGAAAGUAGGGAGUUUCUACUGUUACUUGAUUUAAAAUAAAGUAAAUUUAUAUUGUUAUGAAAACAAAUUAAACUUUACAGAAUUAUAUAUUUUAUAUUAUAAAUUUACAGAAAGUAAUAUUUUUUUUAAAGUAAUCGUUUUACUGGAAAUAUGUUGAAUAAACAAAAAUAUAAAUAUAUAUUUUUUAGAAAUUAAUGUAGUAAAAUUUAUAUGAAAUUAAUAACUAAUUAAAUAUUUUAUUUUAUUCUAUUAUUUAUAAAAUAUGUUAAUUUCUUUAUAUUUUAAAGUGUUAAUUUUUAAAUAUUUUUUUGAAGUGGUCACUAUUUUUUUAAAUUUAAUAAUUCUUUUAUAAAAAAUAAUUACUUUACAAAAAUAUAUAUUAUUAUUAUUAUUUAAAUUAUAAAAAAUGCCAUGUUUUGAAUUAUUAUUGUUUUCCGUUAAUAUCAUAUACUUUUUUAUUAUGAUUGAUUACCAAAAAUAGAUUCAUUUACAAAAUAUUUCAAGUAAAAUAUAAAAUUUGUAAAGUUUAGGUUUUUGCAACAAAGUGACCACAGAAGUCACCUUGAAAGUAAUUGUUCUCUGUCAAAUGACUGAUGAACACUAAAAAAUGUCUUCUGCAGGACAUAUACUGUUUGGAUGCAGAUGGUGCUCUUUUUGAUUGUGCAUUGCUUUCAGCAGUGGCUGCCUUCUCCAAUUGUAAGUUUGCAGCCUGUAUCAUGCUUUCACCUCUUGUGUUGUGUGGCUUUUGAAGAGCUGGCAUAGCCUGUGAAAAUGAACAUGCUUGCCCAAAAGCCUUGCACCUCAGCUUUAUGACGCUUGUCUAUAAAUUGUUUCCUAUGGUGCAGCUUGGUAUGGACACAGAACACCAAAUUUGAUUCGUUUUGAAUAUGCUAUUGAAAUCAGUGGCUUGAUUCAUCCUUUAAAUAUUGUGCUUGGUGACCCAAAGCUACUUUUAGAGCUAGCCAUGGUCCAGUUGGGGCCUGGAACUGACUGGGGUCUCAUGGGCCUGAACAAAACUGGAACCAUUUCCCUUCCUCCUUGAAUGAGACCAGGCAGUUCCAGUUUUUCUGAACCCAUUUUUUCUUUUAGAAGGAUGGAAUUUUUAUUUGAAAAAUUUUCCACUGUUGGACUGACUCAAACUGGGCGGAACCAGAACUGGGUGCUCUGUUCCAUGGACAGGAACCAGCCCAUGGCCUGGACUAGCUAGUUUAGGAUUGUUGAAUUGCUGAAUAUUAACUGCUGCUCGUAUCUUUUAGAAAAAAGUGAAGGACAUUCAACUUCACAAGAAUGUGUUUGCAUCCGGAAGGCUAAUUCAUUUUCUUUCUUACUUGGACAAUUUUCUAAGUCACCCUGUUGCUUUUCACUCAAUCAUGUGUGUAUGUAACUGUUUAAUAGAAAAAGGGCAUUAGUUGAAAGGAACCAAUUACUUGUGCAUUCAUUCAUGUGCUUAGUCUCCUAGAGUUUAUGGAUCAUCUUAUUUGAUAGAUUUCUGCUAUAAGAUAACACUCAUCUCAAGUCAUCCUACUUGAUAAAUUUCUGCUUUAAGUUAUUUUCCAUCAUUUAAGCUGGGUAUCUUAUGACUUCACAUGUAUAUGUUGGACAUCUAGCCUUAACCCAUUCUUUAGACCAACAUCAAAUGGAAAAGUAUAGUAUUCUUACAAUUGUUCACACAGUUUCAAGUUUCUUUCUCUGGUAUUAAUAUUGUAAGUUAUCUUCCAAAGCAUAGUGUGUAGGCUAUUGUUGCAUUUGCUUCAUUUUAGAUUGAAGUGAACUUGAAAAUUUUUUGUUUGUUUAUUUUAUUGUUAUUGUGUUGUCACUAUUAUCAUCAUUAUUGUGUUCUUAUUUGAUUGAGUUGUGUCUGUAAUUGCCUCGCUCAUUAUAAAAAUUUGACAUCUUCUAGUGCAAAUCCCGGUGGUUUCCCUGAACGAUGAUGGAAAGAUAGUAGUUGUGUCUGAGGAAGGUGAGGAAGGAAAGUUGGAAAAGGAGCCAGUCAAUAAGGAAAAGAGGAAGCUCACGCUGAGAAGCCUGCCAUUCUCAUUAACAUGCAUACUUCACAAGAACUAUAUCUUGGCAGACCCCACUGCAGAGGAAGAGUCUAUCAUGGAAACUCUUGUAACUGUGGUUUUGGAUUCAUCUUCUAGACUUGUGUCCUUCUACAAGCCAGGUGGACCAGUUCUCGCCUAUACAUCAGCUGUUCAGGUAUGUUUAUUUCUAAGUAUCUAUUUUGAUGCAAACCAAAAAUUCAAGGGAAAUUUAUUAUUUAGUCCCUAUAUAAUAAGGAAGCUCAUUAGUUGGUUCCUCUCUUUUCAAAAAUAUAUUAAAAUGUUCUUGAUGUUUUAAAAAGUCUAUUAAUUAGUUUCUCAGUUAAUUUUAACCGUUAAGUGUUACAAAAAUGUCUAAAGUGCCCUUGAUAGUUGAUACAAAGCGACUAAUUGGUAAAUUUUUUAUAGACAUGAGAGAGGGACUAACUAGUAAGUUUUUAUAAACCGUAAGGAUUAAAUAGUAAAACACUUAAUGGCUAAAAUUAGUUGAGGGAUCAAUUAGUAGACUUUUUAAAACGUCAAGAAUAUUUUAAUAUAUUUUUCAAAAUUGAGGGACCAACUAGAAUAUAGGGACUCAACAAUAUUUUUCCCAAAAUUCAAAGUCAACAUGACGGGAUAUCGAACGCCAAUAAAAGUUGGAUCUGCUAUUGGAAAAAAAAAACCCUUAAAUUGUUAGUUAUAGGGAAUUAAAAGUCGGUGUAAAAUUAAAUUUGACAAUUAAACAACAUUUUUUAAAAUUCUUUUUUUAACAGCAUAUUGAACAGUUUUUUUCCAGAAAACACUUUUUUGGCUCCAAAUCUCAACCUUAAACAGGGCCUUAAUAUUCUUUUUAUGUUUGAAUAAGAAAUGGCCUGCUGUGGUUGCAGGAUUGUGUUGCAUUAACAAGGCAAAGAGUGAAGGAACUUCAAAAAAUUUUAGAUGAGGCUGUUUCUGGUAUGGAGAUUGACUAGGUUUGAUUUUUAUGUGCUGAGAAAAUAUCCAGGUCAUUAAUCUAUUCGUGCGUAGUAGCAUACCUUUGAAUACAAUAUCCUCUCUAUCCUGUUCCUGUGGUGAAUCUAGUAAUGCCAUGAGAGGCUCUCAAAUGCAGGAAUUGCUAGUAAACUUCGGUUACAUUUGUGGGAAAGCUUUUUUGUUGCAUUUUGUUCCAUCUUGUGACAGUUGACAUGGAAUUUUUGCCAAGAGUGAAUGCAAGGCAGUUUCACUGUGAGUUCCACUAGCGCCAAUCAAAUAAUUCCAUGGGUAAUUUACAGUAUAGUCCCUGAGAUAUUGUAAAAUCUACAACUUAGUCUCUACUCUUUUAACAGUUAACAAUUUAGUCCAUGAGUUUUUUAUUUUACUAGUGAAAUAGGCCUUUUGUUAAAUUUGUUAUUAGCCAAUCGUAAAUUGAAAAAGUCAAUUCCAAUUGAAGGGAUUAAAUUGUUACAAAUGUUAAAGUUAUAGGAUUAAAUUAUUACAAAGGGAUGAAACUGUUAAAAAAAGUGAAAUUUAAAAAAUUAAAUUGUUAUAGUAUAAUAAUAAAUUUUAACAGGCACUCACAGAUUUAGUCUGGUGGUAAGUGCAUCCAAGUAAAUAUGAAAGAUCUUAGUUUUUACUUUUGCAAUCCCAUUUUAAAAAUAAUAAUAAUAAAUUUUAACAGAAGUAUUAUUUUAUUAUUAUUUUGUUAAUAAAAUGAAACGUAAAUUGUUUCUUGUUAAAAUGAUAAGAAUUAAGGUGUGAGUUUUGUUAAAUCUUAAGAACUAUAUUAUAAAUUGCCCUAAUUCCAUUAAAAAAAGACUUUAUAUCUCUUUUAUAUCUCUUUUCUGAUUUGGAGCCCUAAUUCCAUUAAAAAAAGACUUCAUAUAUCUCUUUUCUGAUUUGGAGCUUCACUUGAUAUCUUCAACUUGGUAAAUUCACAUCAUUUACAGUAACUUUAUCACUGAUUUAUUUCCCUGGCAUGACUUGCCUGGUUGAUAAUUGUCUUGUGGUAGAUAUCUAUAACUCAACCUGAGCCACACUUAUUGCUUGGCUGAUUGACUGGACACAUCAGAUUUAUUGUUGCAACUCGUUCAGCAUUGUCAUUUCCCCCUCCCCAUAUCAAGAAAAGAGACAAAAAUAAUAAUAAAAAAAUCUUCACUUUUGGUGCAUUUUCCGUGGAGCUUUUUCUUUCCCGGCAUUAGAUAAUCAGUACUAUUCAAUUGGAACUAGAAAUAGAACUAAUGAAAUUAUUUGGAUACGUUAAUGGAGCGCCCAGCCACUCAGGCCUUGCAGAGAUACCAAGGCAAUGUGCAUUGCUUUGCUUCAAUUCAUUCUGUUUUCUUUCAAUUCCUUGAUGAGUUAUCCCAAAACCACCAUGCGUAGUGGCCAGUCGUAAGGCCUAUGGCAUUGGAUAGCUCCAACUUAGAUUUGAUUUCUCAAAGCAGCUUCGAGGUGAAAAAACAAAAAAAUCUUGACUUGGAAUAUGAGAUGUUGAUCAAUCCGAGUUGGCCAUAUUUUCGGCACUUCGGCUCGGUGGUAGGUCCUUUCUUGUGAGUAGGAUUAAAUCAGGGUGUCAAUCGUUGGAUUUAGAGAAUAAUAGCUUUUUCACUCAGAUUUCAUUUGUAGUUUAAAAAAAAAAUCCCAAAAAAAAAAAAAAUUCAGAAGACAGAGUGAUUGAUGUAAGCAAUAUUAUACAUAAAUCAAGUGGUAAAAGAUGUUUAAAUUUUGAAUUUGACACGAAUUUAUGUCUAAUGAGCUGAAUAAUGGAAAAACCACUCUAACAAUUUUUUAUUAUUAUCUUUAUUAUUAUAAUUCACAUAUAAUUUUUUUUAAUUUUCUCUUCAUAUUUUUUAAUUUCUUACCACUUUUUUAAAAUAAUAUAUUAAUCACAUUAAAAUAAAAACUUUAAUAUUUUUAUUUUAUUUUUAUUUUAAUAAUAAAUAAACUGUAAAAAAAAUUAUAAUCAAUAUUAUUAAUUAAUUGAUACGAUAUGUAUUUCAUCUCUUAGGCAAAUAAUAAGAUAUAUAUGAGAGAUUGCUAAGUGCACAUUUAACUCUAUAUAAUUAUUUUUUUUUUUUGAAAUGAAAAUCGGAAAUUGGAAAAAUAAAACCUGAAACCUCUUAUAUUUAUUCAGAUGUAUUUACCAUCAUACUAAAUCUGUGAGUACAUAUAAUUACGUUAUAUAACAUAACUUUAUAAUUUUUUUUAUACAUUUUUAAUUUUCUAUUUAUAUAAAAUAAUAAUCAAUAUAUAUUAAAUAAAAUUUAUUAUUUUUAUGACCAUUGUUAAUAUAUGACUUUGAUAUAAUAAGUAGAAUUUAUAUUAAAAAUUUUAUCUUCAUUUUUAUUUGGCUCAUAUUUUAAAAUUAUUAUUAUUAUUUUUUUUAUAUUUAGCAUGGAAACUAUAUAACUAAAAUAGAAAUUGGACGAAAGUUAUUCAAAUGUUGAAAUUCUUUAAUUCAAGUGAUUUUACACUAUCACUAUUGCCAAGACUAUCUACAAGUUUAGUAAACUUUAUUUUUUUAAAAUUAUAGUUUCUUCAAUAAAAUCAGUUAUUAAAUAUUAGUAAUAUAUGAUAGUAAAUAUUAAUUUUUUUAAAAAUAUUUUUAUACAAUUAAAUUUGUUUGAUGAAUGGUUUUAUAUUUCAUUAAUAUUUGAGAUUUUUAAAUUUUUUACUCCAUAAUUAAGAAUCAAACAUUUAGUUGGAUUUAUAUUUUUUUAUAUAAUUCUCUUAUUUAUUGUACGGCACUAAUUACAUAUAAAAUAUUUUAAUAUUUGCACGAGAAAGCGGUGAUAAAUGAUUAGUUUGAUAUUAAAAGCUAAUGACCGCUGGGUUUCUCCAUCCUUUACGGGGCCGGGCCGAAAGUAGCAGCCCACAAUCAGGAGGUCCCUAAGCCCCCGAAUGAGUCAAGCCCAACCCGUUAAUUCUCUUGAUCGGAUUCCUAUGUAAGUCACUCAUUCGGACCGGUCCGACCCAUUUCAGCCUUGGAGCCAGUCCUUUUCUAGAUUCUGAUCCUUUUCCCUCAAAUCCGGUCAUAAGAAGAAAAGACUGCGGGUCCAGUCAUUACACAGCCCUGUCCACGCACGCGCCGAAGGGAAUUAAAUGCUUGUCUGACACAGGGAGAGGCAUGAGGUUAUCCCUACGUACGUACCUGCACCUAGGAGUAGGUGGUCCUACAACGGAGAAGCCAUUUCGCGUGAAGGAGAGGAAAAAAUACUCUUCUCUAAGGCUAAACUUUUUUUAAAUUCACAAAAUUCCUGUAAAAUUCUAUUUUCUGAAUUUCAGAUUAUCAAAGGCUAAUCAUUGUUAUAUCAAUUUUUUAACCGUUGCAUGUAUAAAGUUUAGAGAUGAAGAAAUUUAAGGAAACAACAACAAUUACAAAAAGCAAAUGCACAAAUUGGCUCUGGAGAAAAUACAUGAAUUCUUUUUUUCCUCAAAAUACGUUUGUAAUGUUCAUAUUUAUGGACACGGUAGCAUAAUGAAACAUAGAAAUAAUUAAUACCAAAAACAAUUGUUUUUUGUCAAGUCUUGAAAGCGAAUUUGCUUCCUCCAAUUCUUAAAAGUAUUCAAUUCAUUCCUCCACCAGGCUCAAGAAAAUUGGCUAUAGAAAAUCGAUAGCCUCAUAUGAAAUGUAUAAGAUUUUUAACUUUUAUAUAUAAUUUAAAAACAAAUUUAACUUCUUAUUCGAUUUCUUUAUGCAAUUUUUACCUUGUGAAUGUAAAGUAGAAAAUAAAAGGACAAUAAUUCACUUGGCACUGGCAAGCAGUUCACGAGACAUGAUCCCAUUAAUAUGAACAGGGGGAAAAAAAUCUCAAAUUCCUUGUCAAUUGAGAGCGACAUAAUCAAAAUUAAGAAUCUAUUACAAGGCAAAAAAAGACACCUCCUCUUACAGUGCAAGAAAAAAUCUACUCACUCUCCUCCUCUCUAUCAUCAUCCUUAAUUCUACCUCACCCCUCUAUGACGUGGCACUUUUAGAAAUCCUAAUCAUCCAAUCAGAAUUCAAGGAACUCCAUCAUAAAACUCCAAGGGAUAGAUAAGUGCACACACCCUCAGUUUCUCUCUCCAAAAACCUCAAGACAAAACUCAACCUCAGAAACACACUUCCCCUCAUAAUUUAUCUGACUACCCAUUUCGCCACGUGUCCUUCUCUCUCACCACUAACCAUAAUAACCAACCGUUUCAUUUCUCUAAGUGCCUCUUCACUUUGAAAAAUAUAAGCUCAUUAUCUUUCACUUCCUGAAAAAAGAGGGGAGAAGAAGAAGAAAUUCUCCUGCACAACAUCAAAACUCAUAGAGAAUCAGAAAAAAAUUCAUACCCUUUUGCUUCCUGAUUCUGUUUUCUCUUCCUCUUGAAUUUAAUAACAGAGAGGAGAAACUGAGGAAUCUGUUUUUUGAGUUGCUUGUUGUGAGAUUUUACCAACAAUGGCUUCUCUUGUAUCUACACCAUUUAGAUUACCAUCUUCAAAAGCUGAUAAUCUCUCUUCACUUUCUCAAAAACAUUACUUUCUUCACUCGUUUCUCCCCAAGAAAACCGUACACACGAAUGCCAAACCUUUCUCGAAACUAAAAUGUGCUGCAAUUGGCAAUGGCCUUUUCACACAAACAACCCCUGAAGUCCGCCGGAUUGUGCCUGAAAAUAAACAGAAUCUACCCACAGUGAAAAUUGUCUACGUUGUCCUUGAAGCCCAGUACCAAUCUUCACUCACUGCUGCUGUUCAAUCGUUAAACAAGAGCUCCACAUUUGCUUCAUAUGAAGUGGUGGGUUACUUGGUUGAGGAGCUUCGCGAUGAAUCCACGUACAAAACUUUCUGCAAGGAUCUUGAAGAUGCAAAUAUCUUUAUUGGGUCUUUGAUUUUUGUUGAGGAGCUAGCUUUGAAAGUUAAGGCUGCUGUGGAGAAAGAGAGGGACAGGCUUGAUGCAGUCUUGGUGUUCCCUUCAAUGCCUGAGGUAAUGAGACUUAACAAAUUGGGUUCUUUUAGUAUGUCACAGCUUGGCCAAUCAAAGAGUCCUUUCUUCCAAUUGUUCAAGAGAAAGAAACAAGGUGCAGGAUUUGCUGAAAGCAUGUUGAAAUUGGUGAGAACCUUGCCAAAAGUUUUAAAGUAUUUGCCUAGUGACAAGGCUCAAGAUGCUAGGCUUUAUAUCUUGAGUUUGCAGUUUUGGCUUGGUGGAUCGCCUGAUAACUUGCAGAAUUUCUUGAAAAUGAUAUCUGGGUCUUAUGUGCCUGCAUUGAAAAGUAAAAAGAUCGAGUAUUCUGAUCCAGUUCUCUUCUUAGAUAGUGGAAUUUGGCACCCUUUGGCUCCAACAAUGUACGAUGAUGUGAAGGAGUAUUUGAAUUGGUAUGGAACUAGAAGGGAUGCUAAUGAGAAGCUUAAAGACCCUAAUGCACCUGUUAUUGGGUUGGUCUUGCAAAGAAGUCAUAUUGUAACUGGUGAUGAUGGUCACUAUGUGGCUGUGAUCAUGGAGUUGGAGGCAAGAGGUGCAAAAGUUAUACCAAUUUUCGCAGGUGGCCUUGACUUUUCAGGGCCAGUUGAGAGGUUUUUGAUUGAUCCAGUUACUAAGAAACCAAUGGUGAAUUCAGUGGUUUCAUUGACUGGUUUUGCUCUUGUUGGAGGUCCAGCAAGGCAGGACCAUCCUAGAGCUGUUGAGGCAUUGAUGAAGCUUGAUGUGCCUUACAUUGUUGCUUUGCCUUUGGUGUUUCAAACAACUGAAGAAUGGUUAAAUAGUACUUUGGGACUGCACCCAAUUCAGGUGGCUUUGCAAGUUGCUCUUCCUGAGCUUGAUGGUGGUAUGGAACCCAUUGUUUUUGCCGGCCGGGACCCAAGAACAGGCAAGUUUCAAUUUUCUAUUUGUUGUCUCUGAAUUUUUUUUUCUUGUCAAUUUUGUGUGUAAUUUAUGUGAAAAAAGUCAUAACUUUCCAAUUUAGAGAAAUCCUGGAACUAGUUUAGACACUAUAUAAUAGAAUAAUCUAUAUAACAAAUAAUUAUAGUAUUUGAUAUAGGAUUAGCUUUUGGAAGUACUUUAAAGAGAUGGAUGACCAGUGCACUUUAGGCAAUUAACUCACUUUUUCCCUGCUUUUACUUACAAGUUGAAUCUGAUCAUUACCACAUUUCUAGUAGUUUUUAUGUGUUCAUAUAUUUUGUCACAUUCUUUAAAGGAUUAAUAGCAAAUUCAAUGUGACUGCAGGGAAAUCACAUGCUCUUCACAAGAGAGUGGAGCAACUUUGCACCAGGGCAAUCAGAUGGGCUGAACUGAAAAGGAAAUCCAAGGUAACUUGCUUUCUGAACUUUCUAUAUUCUGUUUUGUAGAGGCUUGCUGGUUCACUUUUCCCUAGGCGGUGCGCGUUAAACAGUUAAAACCGAAAAUCUAAUUGAGCAGAUUUAAUUCAGUUUUUUGGGAGUUCAGUACAGUUUUGAUUAUCAAUUUAAAAAAUUUUCGGUUUUAUAGUUCGUUUCAGUCAAGUUUUCCCCCUUACAUUUAUGAGAAUAAAUGAAGUUUUCUGUAAUAAUGCAUAAUGCUUAGAUAAUUUUCAUAUGCACUUUAUUGCUCUAUUCCCAUCCUGAUUUAAUUAUUUGAGAAGUACAUUGACAAUUUUUAUGUAAGCGGAUUCUGGAAUAUUGAAGUAUGAAUUAUUCAUCAAAUUUGCAAUGAUGACUAACCUAUUUAAUUUUAUCAAUUAUAUGCAUAACCUUUGUGAGCUAAUCUUGGAAUUGCAAAUGCUAAAACUCUCAAGUUGCUAACAUGGCAUAUAUUUUACUGGAAAAGCUUUUCACUUUUAGCAUAUUAUAGGGCAUAUUAGAGUGUGUGACCUUGAAAGAAAUUAUUAAUUAUAGUAUAAUAAAUUUGAAGUAUUUUACAACACUCAAAUGAUCUGUUUAUUUCACAAAAAUAUUUUUUAUAUGGAAACUGUUUUCCUGUUCAUAAGAAAAACUAAGAGAUUUUCUCGGAGAUGACUUCUAUUUGUCAAAAGAUGGUCAUUUUUCCGAAUACCAUGUCUUCUUUCUCUGUACUCUUUCCUUUAGAAUAAUAUACUUCUGUGAAAAUUUUUAUGAAUAGAAGACGAUGCCAUUUCAACAAUUUGAGAGUUAUUGCAUGUUACACGCACACACACACACACACAUAUAGAGAGAGAGAGGGGGCGAGAGACAUAAAAUAAGCUUAAGUAGCAGGUUUUAAUAAAUUCUUAGCGUGCCUUUGGUUAGUAUUCAUUAGAAAACAGUAAGUCUUGUAGUCAUGGAGAUUAACAUCUCAUUUCUUUUCUCAGUUUUAUUGAAUAAGAUUGUAUUUGAACUUGUUUCAAGUUAUUUUCGUAAGCAUGAUUUGACAAGUUUGUAUAUUUAUGCAGGCUGAGAAGAAGUUAGCAAUCACUGUAUUCAGUUUUCCUCCAGACAAGGGAAAUGUCGGGACAGCAGCCUACCUGAACGUCUUCUCUUCCAUCUUCUCAGUUCUAAAGGACCUCAAGAAAGAUGGUUACAAUGUUGAGGGCCUUCCAGAGACUUCAGAAGCUUUAAUUGAAGAUAUAAUUCAUGAUAAAGAGGCUCAAUUUAGCAGUCCAAACCUGAACAUUGCUUACAAAAUGGGUGUUCGUGAAUACCAAAGUCUUACUCCCUAUGCGACAGCAUUGGAAGAGAACUGGGGAAAACCUCCAGGCAAUUUGAAUUCUGAUGGAGAGCAUCUCUUGGUGUACGGAAAACAGUAUGGCAAUGUCUUUAUCGGAGUCCAGCCUACUUUUGGCUACGAGGGUGAUCCUAUGCGGCUUCUGUUCUCCAAAUCUGCUAGCCCGCAUCACGGAUUUGCAGCUUAUUACUCCUUUGUGGAGAAAAUUUUCAAUGCUGAUGCAGUACUUCAUUUUGGUACUCAUGGUUCACUUGAAUUCAUGCCAGGAAAGCAAGUAGGAAUGAGCGAUGUGUGUUAUCCUGACAGUCUCAUCGGGAAUAUCCCCAAUGUCUACUAUUAUGCAGCUAAUAACCCGUCUGAAGCCACCAUAGCCAAACGUCGAAGCUAUGCUAACACGAUUAGCUAUUUGACGCCUCCAGCUGAAAAUGCUGGUCUUUACAAGGGCCUCAAGCAGUUGAGUGAGCUCAUCUCCUCAUACCAGUCACUUAAAGACACAGGCCGCGGACCACAAAUUGUAAGCUCUAUUAUUAGCACUGCAAAGCAAUGUAAUCUUGACAAGGAUGUCGAACUUCCUGAUGAGGGGAAGGAGAUCUCUGCAAAGGAGAGAGAUCUUGUGGUAGGAAAAGUAUACUCCAAGAUUAUGGAGAUUGAGUCUCGGCUUUUGCCAUGUGGGCUUCAUGUCAUCGGGGAGCCACCAUCUGCCAUGGAAGCAAUUGCAACUUUAGUCAAUAUUGCUGCACUGGACCGUCCUGAAGAUGGGAUUUCUUCACUCCCAGCUAUUUUAGCUGAAACUGUUGGACGAAACAUAGAGGAAGUGUAUAGAGGUAGUGACAAAGGAAUCUUGAAGGAUGUAGAGCUUCUUCGGCAAAUAACUGAGGCAUCACGUGGUGCUAUCUCUGCCUUUGUUGAGAGAACAACAAAUAAGAAGGGUCAAGUUGUGGAUGUUACUAAUAAGCUAAGCUCAAUCCUUGGAUUUGGUGUCAAUGAACCAUGGAUCCAAUACUUGUCAGACACCAAAUUUUACCGGGCAGAUAGAGAGAAACUGAGAAUAUUGUUCCAGUUCCUUGGAGAAUGUUUGAAAUUGGUUGUUGCUGAUAAUGAGUUGGGGAGUCUGAAACAAGCUUUGGAAGGCAAAUAUGUGGAGCCAGGUCCUGGUGGUGACCCAAUUAGAAACCCAAAGGUGUUGCCAACGGGGAAGAAUAUUCAUGCAUUGGACCCACAAGCCAUCCCUACAACAGCGGCAAUGCAGAGUGCAAAAAUUGUGGUGGAUAGGUUAAUUGAGAGGCAGAAGGCUGACAAUGGUGGAAAGUAUCCCGAGACAGUUGCACUAGUAUUGUGGGGAACUGAUAACAUCAAGACUUAUGGUGAGUCCCUAGCUCAGGUCUUGUGGAUGAUUGGAGUGACGCCAGUUGCGGAUACCUUCGGCAGAGUUAACCGGGUGGAACCAGUUAGUCUUGAAGAGCUUGGAAGGCCUAGGAUUGAUGUUGUUGUCAAUUGCUCGGGCGUUUUCAGAGAUCUUUUCAUCAACCAGGUAGAAAGUCUUUUCAUGUUCUGCUUUCGUUUCUAAGAGAAGCUCAUGGAAAUCAGCUGAUUAUGUGUGCUUAAACAUCAUUUAUCAUGUUAUGUUGGAGAUGUUUUGUAUAUCUAAUAUUCUCCUUUGUCCACAGAUGAACCUCUUGGACCGUGCAGUGAAGAUGGUGGCUGAACUUGAUGAGCCAGCUGACCAAAACUAUGUCAGGAAGCAUGCUCUAGAACAAGCUGAAGCCCUUGGCAUUGAUGUUCGAGAAGCUGCAACUCGAGUAUUCUCUAAUGCCUCCGGGUCCUACUCUUCAAACAUAAACCUUGCAGUGGAGAAUUCUUCAUGGAAUGAUGAAAAUCAACUUCAAGACAUGUACUUGAGCCGGAAGUCCUUUGCCUUUGACAGCGAUGCUCCAGGCGCAGGCAUGAUGGAGAAAAGAAAAGUGUUCGAAAUGGCUCUGAGCACAGCAGAUGCCACGUUCCAAAACCUCGACUCUUCAGAAAUUUCUCUCACUGAUGUGAGCCACUACUUUGAUUCAGAUCCAACAAACCUAGUGCAGAACUUGAGGAAGGAUAAAAAGAAGCCUAGUGCAUACAUAGCAGACACAACAACAGCUAAUGCUCAGGUUAGCAAUUUGAGCAAUUUCUAAGAUUUUAAAUCAGUCAUUUGUGCUAGAGCUAACCAAUUUCAAAAUUUCUCUCUAUCAGGUUCGCACACUUGCUGAGACUGUACGGCUCGAUGCACGAACCAAAUUGCUGAACCCGAAGUGGUAUGAAGGGAUGAUGUCCAGUGGAUAUGAGGGCGUUCGCGAAAUUGAGAAGCGGCUAACAAAUACAGUUGGAUGGAGUGCAACUUCCGGCCAAGUCGACAACUGGGUAUAUGAAGAGGCAAACUCAACUUUCAUUCAAGAUGAGGACAUGCUGAACAAACUCAUGAGCACUAAUCCAAACUCAUUCAGGAAGCUAGUGCAGACAUUCCUAGAGGCCAAUGGCCGUGGUUAUUGGGAAACUUCACAGGAAAACAUUGAGAAGUUGAGACAGCUCUACUCAGAAGUUGAAGACAAGAUUGAAGGCAUUGAUAAGUAAACAAAUAGCUAGUUUGGCGAUCAAAGUGCAAAUAUUGAUUCACAUUGUUGAUUUAGCCGAUGAGCAUGAGCUGUUCCUCGCUUGAGAUGUAAAAAUUGUUCAUAAAAACAGGGUGGUAAUUCAGUCAUCUUUUUCAGAGAUUUGCCUGUUAAAAUCUUUACUCAGUUACUGCCAAAAGAAGAAAAUAGCAAAUUUGAUGGCAAAAAACAGUGAUAUUGCCUCGGAUCAUAUCAUUUUAUCAUUAAAGUGAAUACCCAUAUCAGUAAACGAAUCAUACAAGAUACUCUACAAAGAAAUUCGAAAAAAAUUUACAAUUACAGUAGGGAUUGAAAAAAAUAAUAAUAAUAAAGCCCUCACCCUCAAGAAAUAAAACAGAAAUUCGUAUCACAGUUACAAAAUGGUAAAGCUUCUUUGUCCUACCAUGGUUCUUGUAAGUAUCAAAAAGAUGUUUUUACCUUCAAACUAACUCCAUCAGAAGAGGGUCACCUUCUGCCAUUAUUCUUACCAGCUUUAUGAAAUCUUGUUCACUUGACACAUUCCACGGGUGAACAGCAGGUGUUUGAGCUGAAUAAAUGGUUGAAUUGGUAGAUGGUGGCUUCGGUUUAUAUACCAUUUUACUAAGCACAGAGUCAAAAUUCUGAGGGGAAUCCAUUGAGACAAAGAACAUAGGUAUAGCAAUUUUGUGAUGGAUUUCCAGAUCAUCCACAAGGCUGACAAGAUCUACAAAGUCGGCUACGUACUGGUGAGGAAUGUAGAAUAUAUCAGAACUGCAUAUCGUCACGCUCUGAUCAUUCUUCAUAGCUUCCUUGUAAUUUACUUGGAAGUGAACAGGCAUUGAACCAACAACUUUUUUUACCAUUUCUGCUUGUUUCCCAUACCAAUCUGAGUUUCCAUUGGUUGACACAGUACUCCAGGAUUUUGAAACCUACACCAGAGAAAUGUGUUAGAAUUAUUAUUCAUGACAAGCACGAGGUGUUACUAAGAAUAAAUGAAUCUACAUGCUGUUCAUAAAACUAGAGUAUUGUCUCUGUCUUUGCACUAUUAAUAACAUUCGGAUGCUAGCAUAAUGAAAUGCUGUAGCAACAAGAUUAGAUUCAAUUAGCAAUGAAUUUCCAAUCUUCGGUUUCAUUUUCAGAAGCAAAAAAGAUUAAAUAUGUUUACAUUAAAAUGAACAUUAUAAGAUAAUCAACGGGUGGAAAAGUUACCUUAUCAGUAAUCCAUAGCUUAGUCUUGUCUGCUUGAAGCAAAUUCCAAUAAUUGAGGAUAGUAUCAUCCUUAAGGAAUAAAAAGCCUUCUGCACUAGUAAACCGAUGAAAUAUCUUGGGCAGAUGCCUGUAGCAGACAUUAAAAAAAAGAAAAAAAAGAAAAAAAAAAGUAAAGUGGUUAAAACUUCAUUUUAUGUCUACGUCAUGAUUAUUAACAAUAAAUGCAUUCCUAGAAACCAAUUGACAACAUAACUGCCAAGUGUAGCUUCUAAGAGAAGUUAAGAAUAAUUAAUGGCAAGUUAGCAACAACCUUCAAUUUGACAAGCACCUACACCAAAUUUGCCUAAAUUAUAGUCUUGAGAGAGGGAGGUGAGAAAAGGUAAAAGUGCAUACAGAUAGGGAAAGAUAACUAUAGUCUGGAUAACAUAUGCAAUUAUAGCUAGAGUUUGAACUCAUAAUACCACCAGUAGAACAGUGGAGAAAUUAAAUUAUGAGAAUUGAGCCUUCUAAAACAAGGGACAACCUCGCCCCUCCUCUUCCUAAGUCCACUGGAGCUAGUUGACCACCUCCUACUCAGCAAGUACCUAGUCAGCUGCAGUAAGAUGCCACCCGUGAUUUUUGUAUCCACAGUGGCUAGAUUUAACUAGGGAUAUGGACUCAAAGUCGGGAAUUGUAAUCCAAGGAGAAAGAACUGGGAAAAACAUAUAACUCUUCCAGCAUCCAAUCCCCUUUUAGAACUAGAUACAUGUAAAAUUCAAAAGCUCUCAUUAGGAAAUCUGUAUCCAACAAUAUGGAUGGAGUAACUGAGAAUGGACAAAAGGUUUCCAGUAUUUUAAAUUUGGACACACUAUGGUAAAAUGAAAGCUCAAAACCAAAAAUUUGAAAAAAUCACUUGGCCAGUUACUGUAAUAAACAGGCAAUCACAGUCAGCAUUCUCAUUACAAAAUCAAAUAGCAUUUGUCAUCUGCACUAAAUGAAUUUCAAGAAUUUGAGGCAUAUUUACAUUAGCUCUGAUGACUUGUAUAAUAGAAUUUAAAUAGAACAAAAGGAAAGGAUUCCAUAUAGUUCGGACUAAACUCUUUUUAGAUGUUCAGAUGUUAUAAUUGGCAGAAUUUAUUGUAAUCAAAAGUUUCGACCACUCUAAAAGUGCAGGCAUGUGUGAGGCAAUGAAGUUCAUAUUGUGAGACACCAGGUAAUGCAAAUAGCAAAUGCACUCUAAAGCAAAUAGAAAUCAAAUGCUAAAGAUUUUUUUUGGGGGGUGGGGGGAGGAGAGAGAGGAGAAAGAGGGGACUUGUGCAUGAGGUUCGCUGCAUUGCAAGCUCUAGAAGGGUUAGAUUCACACAGCCUUUUCCUUUGGAUUGCAGGGAGGCUAUAUCUAUGCUGUGAAAUCAUUAACUGCAGCACACCUUAUCAUUGCACACUAAGACAAAACAGGUUUAGAUUUUAGAGUUAUUUCAAGAAAACACAAUAAUUCAUGUUCUAAAAUUGUUGAUAAAGUUCUAAACCCUUAAACUAUGAUUAACAUUCAGAGGUUUGUUAGGACACAAAUCAUGCAUGCAUAUAAACAUGUAAGAAACUAAAAAUUUCCAUGCUUUAAUAUCCAAAUGCACAGGACUUCAACAUGACAAAAUUAAAUAUCAAUAUAAUGAACAUGUGGCUCUAGAGUUGGGCAUUAUUCGAUCCAAACUCAAAAAAAAGACUGAAAUUUGCACCUCCCCUCUAUUCCUCUAUAUCCUCUCCUCCCUCUACCUUCACAGCACCUGCAUUCCCUUUGUCUCAACCUCUUCACACUUACCAUCACAGCUCAACCUAGAUCCAGCCGACAUCCGUGCUCGUGCACAUACUCUCCCUCUCCCUCAAGCCACAGUCAACUCUCACUGCCUCCACUCACCUGCACACAGAAUGUACCAACUCACCCAAAUGACCAUUUUCUUCUUCCUCAAAUCUCCACUCUCAGACCCAACCUCAAUGGUUCCCUUCUCCCUCACCUCCACAUGACACUGUACCCACAUGAUUUCUUUGUUGAUCUUAGCUCUGUGACUUUCACUUUGAUUUUAUUUAUGAUUUUCGACUUCAUCCUUGAAUCUUGAUUUCAAUUUCUAUGUUGAUUUCUUUUUUCUUUUUUUUUUUAAAAAAAAAAAAGAAUUCUGAAUGUUCAAAAUGAGAAAUCUGUGUUUUGCAAUGAGAAUUUUGUAAUCUGUAAAUUUUGUGCACGAUGAUGGUUAUGGAUUACCCUUCUUCCAUGGAUGGAGGAUUGAGAAUUUGAGAGGAGCAUAACCUAUUUCAGUGUUUAUGGUGGGAUUACAGAACUGAUUUAUUUUGGUUUAGCUAGGUUCAGUUGAUUUCCUUAAUUUGUUCAGUUUAAUUUUCAGUUUUUUCAGUUUGGUCUAGUUCAAAACCAACAAACCAAUUGCGUACUCCUGACUGGCUCCCAUGAACAAAGACAAAUUUCAUGGUUUGCAAAGACACCUAAAACUAAUACAUCUAAUUACGAAAACCAGCAACAAGAAGAUUUUAUCUCUGGUAACCCAUCAUCCAUCCAACAAACAAGUUUUCUUUUACUUUGAACCCUUCAUCAUUGAAGGAAAAGUGGGAGUCAUAAUUAGAAUUCAUUGAUAUGCUUUAUCAAGAGUGAGUAACCAAAUAUCUAAACCUAGAUUCAAAUUUUAUCUAAAUUUGAAAUACAAUCCAGUGAUAAUCUAAUUCAACAGAAGAUAAACAAAUAGAAGGUCCUCAUUAUGCUCUUUGGCAGAAAAUGUAGAAUUAUAAUGUAAAAUAAGCAAAAUGUAUAUCACUAUUAUAUCAAAACUUACUUGUAUAACAGUUCCAAAUUGCCCUCUUCAACAGCAAGAUCCUCGUUCUUCCGCCACGACAAAAUAACCACUGUUUUGAAUAUCCUCCCGUAAAGCAAUCUCCAUUCCAAAGCAGUCCGUUCCACAGGCCCAGUACAAAACAUGAUAAGCACAAUAUUUCCAAAAUUCUUCCUCCAUCGAAUCAAGUUUCCAAUCUCAUAACUCACUGUCCCUGUUUCCUCUACUGCAAGAUGCACAGAUGGCAGCUUACGAGGAAUAAACUCCCUUCGAUCCCCAUGGCCAAUACUUGCCCGUGGCCUAUCCAAUUCCAAUGACAUUAAUCUGGGCUGCUGAUAUCCAACAGCAAUCAAGUCAUGAAGCCAAGCAGCAGUAAACUUCACAUCCUGCUCAUUCCAAAAGCCUUCCUCUGCCAUUGCAUAACUCAACUCCAAAAUCUUUUCGAACAACCUAUGCUUACUCGACCUCCAUGCUACCAAGAACUUAAUCAGCCUCCCUACAUUUACAUGAAGAUCCUUCUCUUCCGAAAAUGGGUAUCCCUUAAUCCUAUCAUAUCUAUGAACAGUAGGUGGAUAAACCACAACAUACCCACCAAUCUCCCACAAAAGCCUUUGUGCCCAAUAGCCCCUUAACACAUCAGAGGCCAUUGUGCUUACUGAAACCGGAAGCAUCAAACCCCAAAAAGCAGAUGAAUGAAAUAUUGUAUUAAACGAAUUCACUGGUACCAUUAUCCCCUGAGGCAAUGCCACUUUAGGGGCAUGCUCAUCGAACCUAAUAUCAAAACCUUCCAAACCAGAUUUCCUAGUAAAGUAGAAGACAGAAUCAACAUCUGGCAAUCCAUUUGAAAUCCCUUGCUGAAUAAAUUGUUUCCCACCAAAAAUCUCAGUGUAGAACUCUUCAUGCUCAAUUUCACCCACAUUCUCCAGUGGCAACCCUCUUGGCCAAACCGAUCUCUGCCCAAAAUGAAUAUAAGGAUUCAACACAGUCCUGUUCUCAUUCUCAUGACUGUACUGCAAUAUGAUCUCUUGCCUAGCUCCCUCCCCAAUUAAUUCCACAUCAAAAUGCUUCCCUAAAUCUUGUCCAAUCACCUCACCACGAUCAUCUGCGUCGAAGAUUUUCUUGGCCCCAUGUUGGAUAGCAAAUAAAUACCCAACGCUUUUCCUCACAUAAGAAUCAUAUGGCACAAAAUCCACAACCCUAAAUCCCAAACUCGCUUGCUGCUCCAAUGACAAGUAUAUCGCACCCUUUAACCCCCAAUCUCUAGGGGUCUUCGAAUUCCCAAUAGCAAGCAACUGCCAACCCUUAAUUUUAACGAGUUUCUUAAGCGAAUCAGAGGGAUAAUCAGAGACCGAAACAAUGAUCCAUCUCUCGGUGCGAAAAUUGGCAUAGAUUGAAGUCUUAUCAGCAAUGGGUGCGAUGUGAUUCCAGUUAAUAUGGGGAAAUGGGAGGGUUUUCUCAAUGGGUUGAGACUUGGACUGAAGAUAGAGAAAGGCAGCAGUGUCACCAGUAUUCCGGAGGAAGAAGACGGCUGCUACGGUGGCGAUGAGGAAAAAACAAAUGAUGAUCUUGUAGAGGUUUUCAGAGAACCAGGUGGAGAAAUCAAGGGAUUUGGAAGGAGAGAAACGGUAAUUCUGGUGGUGGUGGUGGUGGUUGUUGUUGUGGUUUGUAUGGAGGGUGGUAGGGAGGGGGCUUGAAGAUUUAGGAGCUGCUGUACGUUCCUGAACCAACAUUGGUGACCCCCCAAAAGGAUUUCUGAAAAUUACUUGACACUGAAACACAGACACAGACACACUCUACCUGUCUCUCAGCCACAGAGCAAAUUGUGAGCUAAGUGCCAGGAAAGACUGAAAACUAGAGUUUCUGAAUCUCCUCUAAAGCUUGAGACUGCUCCUAAAGACCAAGUCUUCUUAUUUUAUGUGAAAAUAAAAAACAUUUCUUUUAUGUUUUGUCGGUCUCUCUCUCUCUCUCUCUCUCUCUCCAAAGCUUGAAUCUUUUUCUUUUCUUUUCUUAUCUCUCUAGAAAUCCAUUUGCUAGCCGCUGAGUGGCGGCUCAAGGGGCAAGACGAUGGUUGUUGCCGACAGGAAUGAUUCGGUGCGGGGUUGCUUAGGCUUGAAUAUGAUGUAAUUGAACGCAGCUGCUGUUUGUUUGGUGGAGUGGAGAAACGUCAGUCACUGUCACUGUCACCGUAAUAGUUUUAUUGGCUAUGGAUUUCUGGCAUCAUAUAAUGGCUGAAAUGGGUAAUUGGUUAACUAAUUUGGCAAUUAGCAGGUUGGCUGGAGCUUUGCUCAUCUGUCAUGUGGAUACGCACUGCACGGCACCGAUUUGGAUUCUGUCUGCUUAUUAUUGAAAUCCAAUGGAAAUAUUCAUCUCCUGCAAUGUAAUUCAUUUGAAAAAGAAAAUAACAUAAACUCUCAGUUUUGAAAUUAAAAAUUUCACAAUAAUUUAAUUCAAUUAAUUUAUUUUUUAUUUAAAAAAUAUUAAUUUAAUUCAUUAAAUCCGAUCCAAAUGCAACGCAGCUAUACCUAAUGCUUUUGUAAAACCAGCUUAUGAACAGUUCUACUCUUAGUGAAAAAUUUUUACAUUCAUUCUUUACAUUUUUCCUCUAUUUCUGGAGGCUCUACUUCUCUUAUAUCUGCCGUUUAGUGAUCAUCCCUAUUCUAUCUUGGCAGGAGACAGCUCCUCCUUAAUGCAAUGUGAGGUUUUCUAUCCUAAACUUUGAGCUAAGAUGUAAAUACUUUGUUUUGUAUUUUGGCUUGCAAGUCCUAUAGUUUUCAUGGGAUUUCUUUAAAUCUGCCUUGGAUAUACUUUUCAAGUAUGGUGCAGUCAAUUUGUGUCUUAUAUGCUUCUUCUGGGUUUUUGGCUUUGGACGAUGGAGGUAUUGUUUUCUGGGGUUUUCUAAAUCAAACAUUGGUUUUAUAAAUAAUUUCAACACUCCCUUAUUUUUAUAAAUUAUUUUUUAAUUUAUAUUAUUUAAAUAAUAAAUCAAAUUUUACCUUUUAUCUUUUUUCAAGGGCAAUAGACAAGUCUUUGAAACUUUUAAAAUAAAAUAGUAUUUAUUUUUGUAUAUUUAGCAAAGAUGAAAUAAUAAUAGUAUUAAAUUGAAUCUUUGAGCAUGGUUGCAUGCGUAUAGCUUUAGCUAAUUAGAUUCAAUUGAGAGAUAAAUUAGUCAUUAUAUUUAGGGUGUAAAUAAAAUUAAUUGAAAUAAACUUAAGUAGAUUAGGUGUGCAGUAUUCGGUUUAAAUUGAAAAAAUUAACCGAAUCGAAUUGAUUUGAAAAUUCAAUUCAGUUUUUAUUCAUUUCAAUCCGGUUCAGUUUGUUUUUUAAUUUUAAAAAUUUUGAUUAUUUCAAUUCGAUUUAAUUUUAAUUAUAAAAAUUAAAAAAAUUGAAUCGAAUCGAUUAAUGAUAAUAAUAUAUUAUUUUCAAUACCAUAAAGAUAUCAAAUUUAAAAUAUUUUAAUGAACUUUUAAAAUAUUAAAAAUAAAGAGUAAAAAUUAAAAAAUUUAUUAAAAAUUUAAAUUGAUAAAUCGAAUUGAAUUAAAUCAGUUGGAUUUAAUUUUUUAUUAAAAUUAAUUUAAUUUAAUUUUUAUAAAUAUUAAAAUUUUAAUUUUUAAUUUAUUUAAUUCAAUUUAAUUUAAGUUUUGCUGAAAACAAAGAAAUUAGGUAUGUUUUUUCAUGCCCAAGACUAAGCAACUUGAGCUUGACAGCUAAUUGCUGGGCAGGAUAUCUAUAAUUUUAUAAAAAUUAAAAUUUUUUUUUAUAUGAAAUGAAUCAUUUCAAAUAAAAAAUGUAUAAUUUUUUUAAAUAUAAUAUUGACCUUUCAAAUUUAUAAACAAUAAAACUGACUAAUUAUUUUUUAAUUUAAUUUUAUAUAAAUAAAAAUUAAACUCGUUCUUCUUCUUUAAAUUAUUUUUCAAAAAAUAUAUAUUGAAAUGUUGGUAUUAUUCACAUCUAAAUUUAUUUUUAAUAUUGUAAAUAUAAUUUUACCAUUUUAUCAUAAAAUAUAUCUGUGAGUUAAUUUAUAGGCAAUUUUUGUCUAAGAAAAUGAAAUUUGGAUAUUGAAUUUGAAAUUUCUGUUAUUUAUUUUCUUUUUUAUUUAGGAAGAAAGUGAGUGGAAAUUUGAUAAAAUUACAUAUUUACCCAUAUAAUUAUUUUAACUCUAAAUAAAAAUUAUAUAAUGAAUAUUUUAACUUUUUAACUUUUAUUUCUUAUUUUUCUUCCUAAUUUAUAGAUAAGGAGAGAAUUGUUUCAUCAUUUUUAUUUUUCCUUUUCUUCUUUACUUUUUUUCUCCCUAAAACUUUCCAUAAUAAUGACGUUAAGUAAAUUUAAUCAAAUUUAACAUAAAUUUAAAUAUCAUAUUCGGUUCAAUCAAAAUAAUUCAUUGAACUAAAUUAAUUUAAAGAAUUUAAUUUAAUUUUAUAUGUUUUCAGUUUAAUUUAAUUUUUAAAAAAUUAAAUAAUUUUCAUUUGAUUUUAUUUAAAAUAAAUAAAAAAAUGAUUAAAUUGAUUAGUUAACCAGACUGAUAGUAUAUGAAAAUCAUAUCCUAAUCAAGAUUUAAUUGGAUAGUAAAACAAAAAAUAUAUAUAUAAAAACAAAAAAAAAAUUAUUUUUUUUAAAUGGAAAAACAAAAAAAAAAUUUAUUAAAAAGCCAAUCAAGCAAAUAUAAUUGAAUAAAAAUGAUUUGAUUUACAUCCAUCAUUUGCCUUAGUUUUUUCUUUUUUAUCAUGUAAAUAAAUUUGCAUUAAAAAGCCCAUUGGAUAAUAGUAAAAAAAAUUAUCAAAGAUAUUAAAAAUAAAAAAAAAAGGUCUAAAAGAGAAGUCCAAAGCUAAAAAAAAUUGCGGCCCACAACCAACCGUUCACUGCUCACUGAAAGCCGAUCAGAUCUGAAGUGGAGCGAAGAGCAACUGUUCAGCACCCGCGACCGUAUCAACUACCAAAUAGGCACCGUUCAAAUCUGAACAAUCGAAAAAGGAUAGCAAAGCGAUUGACUUAUAUGCAGAAAAAAGCAAAAAAACAAAAAAAGAAACAAACACAACAAAAAUAAUUGAUCACCAAAUUUAGGAGAUUUCGACUGCACAAAUCAGCACUAACCAUCAUCAUAAGCUUCAAUGGCCGCCGUCGACGGCGACUAGAAAAAUAUCGGCCCAUAGCGCUCUCAAUAUCGUAUAUUCAUGGACAGCCAACGAAAUUACUCGAGUUCUACCGUCGAGUAUAUCAACGGUCCCCUUUUCUGGAUCGACAAUCAAACACCAUCAUCAAAACUCAGCGAAAUCAAAUAGAAACAAAUGGAACACAAUAUAAAACUACAAAAAAUAAAAUUAUAGAAGAAAAUAACGUCAAGCUCACUCUACUCAUGGAUCAAAGAGCUCGACAGUCGCAGUUCACAUGAGUGCGACUCCCUCUCUUUCUCUUUCGCUUACUCUUUUUCUCUAUAAAAUCUCUUCAAAAUAGUUUCUCCUCGUUGAUUAAGUUAAAUUUUGCAAAUAUUUAAAUUUACAUUUUCAAUUUAUUCUGUACAAAUUAAUGUACCGAAUGGCUUCUUAUAAAUAGAUUGAUUUUGGAGUACUAAAAAGAAAAGAACAUGGUCAACUCUAAAGAACGCCGUUAAUAUCACCGGCUGAAAAUCAACGCGUAAAGCCAAAGCCAGACGCGGUCUAAAGUGGCCCCUCUAACGCCACAGAAGAAAUAAAAAAAAAAUAAAGGAACGAUAGACCGAAUAUAAACACCGUCAGUCAGUCAGAUUUGUGGACCAGUCUUUUGACUCUUUUGCAUUUGCAUCCUUCUACUUUUAUAUAUUUCAAAAUUUACCCCAAUAUUAUAAUUUUAGACCAACUGCAUCAUUUGGCUUUGACUUUCAUAAAUAAGUCAGUUCAAAUGUGAUUUUAUUAUUAUUAAUAUUUAAUAUUUACAAAAAUAAUAAUUAUUUAACUUCUAAAUUUUAUAAAAAUUUUAAAUUUAUAAAAUAUAAUUAUUUAACAUCUCAAAAAAGCAUGAGUAAUAAAAAAUAAUGAUAAUUAAAUAAUUACAUAUUUAAAUGUAUUUAAUAUUUUAAUAAUAAUUUAGAAGUAUUUUUAGAUAAAAAAUUAAAUUAAUUUUUUUCCUUACGGUGUAGUUAGGGACAAAUUAAACUUUUUAGCAAUCAAUUAAUGGUAGAUCCAAAAUAAAGACAAACUUCUAAGGGCUGACAAACAAAUAUGAAAAAAUGGAGGGGGAAAAUGCAAAAACAAGAUAAAACAUGGAAACAGAGUUGGGCGACCAAACAGGAAAGGGAGAGGAAAGGCAAGAAGCCAAAAUGACAGGAAAUAUCCCUAUAAAUACCAAUCCUCUCUCCACCAUCCCUCACACCUCUCUCUCCCCCUCUCUCUCUCUCUCUCUCUCUCUCUCUAAAGUCAAAGCAACAAAGAAGAAGAGGAGGAAGAUUUAGAUUUCUGUGGAGACAAAGAUGAGCAAGUAUGUGGAAUUGUUGGACGCCGGAGUGAGAAUCGCCGGAAGAUUUUACUCUCACUGCCCACAUACAGCUCGCAUGUACUACCACCCUCCCUCUAACUCCGACGACCACCACCACCACCACCACGACCACCAUGACGGUGGAAGUGUCAGUCACGUGGCGAUUCAGGAUUCUACGCGGAUAUCCAGUUGUGGAUCCAAGGCGGCUAAGGUGUUGGAUGCCACUGAUUUGAUCGUUUAUUCUGUAAUGUAGAAGGAAGAAUGAAAUUAGUGCCCAACACAAACAAUUUUUUGUUACCGAUUUAUUGAAAUUCUUUAUUGAUCGGAAAGAAUUACUGGCAAAAAAUUUCCUCCAUAUUUACUCAAUUUUUGAAUAUCAUUGAUUCUUAUUCUUUUACUCCCUUUGGUAUGAUUGUGAAUAUGACAUGCAUAAUUUUAUUUAUUUUUAGGAUAAAAAUUUUACAAAUUAAAAAAAAAUUUCUAUUUUAAAUAAAAACUUUAAUAAAAAUAAAAUAAAAUAAA
rnacentral:lncRNA from 1 species